GGAAAUCUUUCAACAAAUGGAUGAACAAGUGUUGGAAGCAAUAUGCAAGUGCCUUAAGCACAUGAACUUCAAUGUUGCCAAACGCCAUAUUCUUCAAGAGAAAAAACCACUUAAAAUGAUGUUCUUCGUCAUCCGAGGAGUUGUAUUAAUUGAAAGCGAUAGUGCUUUGGAAGUGAACGUUAAAAACACCUGUGAAAUAGGAAGUUUCUAUGGAGAAGAACUUGUACAUUGGGUUACAACUUGGGUACACAAGUCCUUUCCUGCCAAACUACCUUUAUCACCUGGUUCUGCGCUAUGUAGUGUGCGUGGUGGUCCUGUCGAAAUACUUGCUCUCAAAGCCGACGACUUGAAGAGUGUAGUCUAUGAAUUGAGGUCGAAAUUCAUCACGGAAACCACCCUGCCUACAGAUUCUGAUCAGCCUCGAGAACUGACCAUCCUAAAGAAUGUAAGUUCCUCUGGAUGAAGAGAACCUGACCUAUAUAUAUAUAUUAUAUCCUAUAUAUUUUAAUCAUUAUUCUAAUUUCUCCUUUGCCUUAAAUAAAUAUGGUCUCCAAUAAUAUCCUAGGUGGAAAUCCUUAAGACUAUGAAUGAGGAAGUGUUGAAAGAAGUAUGCAAGCAUCUUACUGAAAAAACGUAUAAAGAUGAGUACAUUAUUAUGAAGGAUAAACAAAUGGAAAUGAUGUUCUUCAUCGUCAGCGGAGUUGUGUCAGUAACAAACGAGAGCUCGAAACAUUACCUUAGAGAAGGAGAAUGUCCAAAUCACAGUGGAGAUGAGCUUAUACAACGUUGGGUGCGAUCUAAAUCUACCAGCGUUUCUGCCGAAUUGCCCACCUCUCCUUCUAGUUUUUGGGCCAUCGGUGAAGUUGAAGUUCUGAUUCUUAAGGCCGAAGACUUGGCAAGUGUUCAGCUUGGUGAUCGAAUUGGUUAGUAUUAUCAUGUAUGUGCAACUAAUUAAUUAAUUUUGUCGUGAGUUGUGCAUAUAAUAACGGCAUGUGUGUAGUAAUAAGAUGUUAUCUUCCCACCGCGGCUACAUGCCUGCUUAUAUACAUACGUGCUUUCGUUGUCUGAUUUCUAGUAUUUGAUGAUCUUGGCAGGCUCUUGAGGAAAUGGCAAGGAAGAGUGAUGGUACGAUUACUUGUCCAAGGACAGGUUUGGUUUGCAAUUAAACAAAUCUGGUGAAGGCAUGUGUGUGUAUUUAUGUAUGCAACCCCGCCUUAGUUGUGACCUUUGUUGGAAAAGAUAAGGAGGUGGGGUAAUUGGUUGUACAUUAUUGUGUGGAGGUGCCAAGGUAAGCACUCUUUUUUUUCAAAUACCAAAUUUUCCUCUUCUGGGGAUUGUUUAUUAGAAAAGAAUUAUUAUUUUUUAUUUUUGGUCGAAAAUCAUAUCAUUAAAAGAAGCCCUGGAAAAGGAACAAAAGCUGGUAUCAAAUUACUUAUUAGGGAGGAAGACCAGAACUUUAGAAGCUAACUUCAACAUUUUUUUGUUUAAUUAUCCAAGGCUUAGGCUUGAAUUCAAUAUGUUUUUCAUGAAACUUGCCAAAAUUGAAAUUCUCAUUACAUCACUAGCUAGCUAGCAACAAGACAAUGAAUUAUAUGUCGGCCAUCAUCAUACAAUACGAGUUCGGCGUUAAUUUCGAUUUGAUUUUGCAUCCCACUAGAACUAUAGUAGAACCAAACAAUUCAUCAUGUUCACGUCUGACAUGAAGAAGUUGAGCGUUUGAAGAUGACCCGAGAAAGUGGUCCCCGCGGUCUCUUUGGGAGGUGGAGAUGGAAAGAAAUUCAACUUAGCCAGUCCCUUAGCAGCUGAAUAAUCCCAUGCCAUAACCUCGAGCUUAAUGGCCACUUCUCUCAUGGAGGGCCUUUCAUCCUGCAACCCUAGACAGCUUUUUAAGAGAUCAACCACUUCUUGGCUAUCUCCAAAUUUUCCUCCGUGAUUAUUUUAUCAUCAAGAAUUUGAUCCAAGCGACCCAGCAAAUAUAUAUAUAUAUAUAUAUAUAUAUAUAUUUAGUCCAUGGUAAAGCGUUUAGGAGACGAACAAAUUUAUGAGAAGAAGACUUGGGUAGAAGACUAGAAGUCUGGAAGCCAACAACUUUCGCAUUUCUUUUAUUUAUAAUCCAAGCCUUGAAUUAAAAAUGUUUUUCAUGAGGACUUGCAAAAUGAAAUUUGCUUUGGUUGGGAACGAGAAGACUUAGAAGUAGAUCUAGUCUCGAUGCUUGCUAGCUUUAACAUAUUUUAUUAAAGCCUGGAAUUAAAAAUGUUUUUCAUAAGAACUAGCUUGCACUGCAAUUUAUAAAAUCACAAAUCUUACCAAAAUGAAAUUUGCUUUGAUUUGGGAGAUGAACCAAUUUAGUCAACAAGACUUGCAGAGAAGACCAGAUUUUAUUCUCAAUGCUAACAUAACUUUUUUUUAAAAAAAAAAAAAUCCAAGUCUAGAAUUAAAAUGCUUUUUUUUUAAAUUUUUUUUUAUUGCGAUUAACUCAUACUGGAAUUAAAAGCAAACCAAAAGGUAGAGAAUAGUGAAAUAUUUAAAAUAUCAGCUAAUUUCAUUGGUUAAUGCAAAUCUUAAAAAUUAAAAUUAUUAAUUAAAUGAAGAGAAUAUGAUAAAUUCACACUUUUUCAUAUUAACAUAAUAACUGGUUUUUAUUUUACUCCAUGAAUAAUAUCUAGUUCGCUAAAUAAAAUUUGCGUUUAUUUUUAUGGAUAAUUAAAAGUUUAGGGGGAGAUUGAAGUAAAAUUUGCUUUUCUUUAACAAUUUGUGGCAUUCUCUUCUCAACUUCUCGUGUGCGGUGAAAACUGGUACGUGGGGUUAUUGGAAAUUAUGGUCUUGUAAAUUGUACGUUCCAAUCUUGUAGUUACUACCGGGGGGUCAUCCAUAUAAUUAUUCUAUUACUUCUCAUGUCCAACAUUAAAAAUUAUCCAGAAAACCAUAGUGCAGUGAAGCUGAAAAAGAAAGGAAAAUCAUUAUAAAAAAAAUAGUUACAACACAUUAAAGGAUUCUUUGCCAGAUAGAGUUCAAGAGGAUGAACAGAAAGUUAAAGUCACUACAAUAUUGUUGGGUAUAUAUGAUAGCUGAAGCCAACUGGAAUUGUUGAGCUGGCAGUGGUUAGUUCAGUGUUAGAUGGUUAGGCUGUUACGCAACAGUUUUAGAAGUUCGUUAAGAGCUUAAGAACAAGUGUAUAAAUACUCUAAGAAACCUUGUAAGGAUUUAUAAGGAUCUCACAUUAUUAGAACUUCAGCGUCUAACCUAAAACUAAACCAAUCCUAAUGCAUCAAAGACUAUGCUCUCAUGCAAUACCCAAAGUUCAUAUACGACUACAUAUGUUCAUGCAAAACUGUGAACAAAUCAUGCACUUCAAUUCAUAAGUAAAUGAGCAAAGAUCACAAACCUUGUUUUACACAGUUGUUCCGACUGCCGAAAAUCUUCUAUUCACCGGAAAUCACCUCUCUCAAGCUCAACUUUCGCUCUCAAAUACCAAGUGUUCCCUCAAGCAUAACCCUUCACCUUUUAUACUGAAGCCCUAGCAUCAGGAAGCGAAAGGGCGUAACAAUUAUGACAGCACUCAUCCAACGUGUCCACUCCUAGCAUUCAUUACAAACACAUGCUUGCACGGAAGCCUAGGCCUCAUGCUAAGCGAAGAUUUUUAUCCCAGCAAGCCAACCCCAGCAAAUCUAAUAAGUGCAUCACGAUUCGGAAACCUGUUCCGAUCGACAAAGCAUGCCGAACGGCAGGCUCACAAGGUUGAGUUCACCUCACCCGCCUAGCCGUUCUUCCUAGCAUGUCAAACGGCAGGUGCUCAGGGUCGAGUUCUCCUCACCCUCAUAGUCUUUCAUCUUUUCAUACCGAACGACAAGGGCAUAUGAUAGACUUUCCCCCAAGUACCCUUUUUCCCAACAACCCCAUUGGUUGGAGACUGGGGGGACUAUAUAAGUAUCAUCGGCAAACCACUAGGAACUUGCUAAAAUUCCUGUAGCGAGGCCCGGAUCAGAAUGUCGAAGACAUGUACGAGUACCCAACCAAGAAGUCCUUUCUCAAUCGAGAACUUGGGGGAGUCAUGUUGGUACCAUAUUUGACUAGGUCUCUCACGCCACGACACAUGGAAAUGACCUGACACCAAGCAGGGCCUAGAAGCCCAAGUUGGCCAGCCUUACGAGUGGUAGAUGCCCUGAGCACCCACUAUUGAUUCUACACUGACCGGCUCUUCACGUAGGCUCACAAUUGACAAUCGGCAUGUGUGCUCAGCACCCGUUGUCAAUUCAGGCUCCCAAAAGAUAUCUCAUAGGGAUGUGUUGUGUUCUUUACUGGUAUACUUUCUAGGAUACAUGGUAGUUCCCCAAGCUAUUCCCACAAGUCCCACAUCGAAAGUUUAUACCAAUGAAACACCAAAACUUCUAUAAAUAAGGCCUUUUGCGGGCAAAAGGUAAUAGCGACUUUACACUUAUGCCCUUACUUUGUCAUCAGCUAACUUAUAUUUUCUUCGGCUAACUUUAGUAUUGGAGGGCCUUCGGUCGGUAUCACACCAAUGUCUUAGGUCUUACCUACUGCUUUUUUCCUUUCUCUGAGAAAUGCCGACGGACAUGCUUACUGAAGGCAUAUCAGAUCACACAUCAUCCUUAAAUUUGGGCCCACUACUGAUCAUCUAGUUUUGAGCACAAACAACUGCAAUGAAGUAGAAUGUUCAAAUCACAGCGGAGAUGACCUUAUAGAAUAUUGGAUGCAAUCUAAAUAUAUUGUCUUUUCUACCAAGUUGCCCUUAUCUCCUUUUAAUUUUUGGGCCAUCGGUGAAGUUGAAGUUUUCGUUCUAAUGGCCAACGACUUGGCUGAGGUUCAGCCUCGUCCAAGUGCAACUGUAAAUUGAUUGUUCAAUUAUUCAAGUUUAUUAGCAAUUUUGUUCUGUAACUGUUGGAAUGUCAUGUGCUCUAUGUACAUAAAUCAUUCCCUGUCCAAACGCAACCGCAUAUCUCCUUCAAAAUAUCUUUCUUUUGUGGGUCGGAAAACCAAAUUGAAAUUAAUAGUAUCUACAAAUUACCUUACCGAAACGUAUUCUGUAUUUUUAUAUUGAAUUAAUUUGAAAGAAAUCCAAGUAGCUUAUCAUCUACGUGUACAUCACAUAGUUGUGCAAUCACUUGAAAGGUUCAGACGGCAAGUUGUAUAAGACUCUUUCAACGAGAAAGUCUCAAUUCCAAAUAUAUAGUUCUGUGGCCCGAAAUCACUUCCAGUCGCUUUAAGAGAGAUGAGUUGGGAGUGUAUAUUGAGUGCAUGCAUUGUAGCUAGCUGCUAAUUAUAUUCAGAGAUGCUGCUUUGCCUUGACCUGAUUCAGAUAUAUACUGUUUUUGUGUGGGAAGGAUGGAAGGAAGAGUAUCAAAAAACAAGGUUCAUCAAAUGUCAACCCUAUCUACUUAUACGCCAAAUAUUGUUCACAUGGCAAUCAUACGUCAUAGUUGAUAACUACAGUGUUUUCUUUCUUUCCAAUCUCAUUGUUUUGCGUUGAGUACAAUUUGGACACACAUAUCGUUACUGCUUAAAACGUCCACCGUCAAGACCUUAUCCAUGGAAAUUCAUUUUCCCUUAUUUCACACCUGCAAUAAUUCCACAACUAAUACUCCCAGAAAACAGGCCACAGAAAUGGGCCACGUGGCCACCUAUUCUGGACCAAACAACAUCGACAUUAUAUAUUUACCAUUUUUAUUAUGGAGAAUGCUAGCAAUCUUUUUUCUAACUUUCUUUUUUGGACUUUCUCUCUUGUACAUGUGUUACUUUCUCUACACUUAAAACAAUGUCAUUAAUGCAUUAGACAAUUUAUCUUUUUUUUCCCAAAUUGUGAAACCCCGUAUUUAUAAAAUUGUAUAGUUUGAAGAUUUGAUAUUUUGCCAUUUAAUUUAUAUAUUAUAUUAUAUUAUAUUAUAUAUGUGUGUAUUACAUAAAUAUCCUAAUACAUUAUAUAUGGAUAUGCUUAGUCAUUGUUAGUGUAGUACGUGUCAAAGAAAAACAAAUGCUUAGCAAGCAUAGCUAUAUACUAGCCUUGUCAAUUCACCAAGAAAAGUUGUAUAGGAUUGGAGGAAUUGGGAACUACCCCAUCUACAAAGCUAGACCACAUAAAAAUAACUUGGAUGGUAAGUGUUUGUAAACCGCCAAACACCAUCCAAUAGGAAGGGAGUCACUGCCGAUAUAUUCCUUAUAUAUAUAUAUAUAUAUAUAUAUAGGACGUGAGUUGCAUAGCAAACGGAAAAAAAUACAACAAGAGAGAAAUAUUGGUAGAGAGGAGUAAGGAAAAGAGUGAGAAACUGAGUUUGUGAAUUCGAUGGAAAAUUGGGAAACACUUUACAUUUCUAGCAAAAGCUUUGGUAUCAAGGUAGGGGUUUCUUGGUGACCUUUUACAAAGAUUGAUCUAAUUAAAUUUCGUGAGCUCUAUAUUAUGUGUGAUAUUGUAUAAUGUUCUUGAUAUACUAUAUUUACGUAUUGUGAACUAUUUGAAUAAUGUUAGCAUAAUUAUAUCAUGUCAUGGUAAUUGGUCGGAGUUGUUGGGUGGAGAAGAUAAUUGUGGAAAAGAGGGUAAUAAGAAGGUUCUUUUGUGUAGUUGAGUCUGACCAUUGUAGGGACCAAGUUCAGGCAAGCUCGUGUGCACAGUAGAUUAGGAAAUCGGCGGUAUAAUUGUCGAUUGGGUGAUUUGGGCUUGGAGAUCAAUGGUAUAGACAAGAUGACUAGCAAAAGGGGAAUUAUGAGAUAACUGUGAUGGGUGUUAGUUUAUAUAAUGGGGCAUUCGGAAUCACAGUGGUAAAAUGCAUGGUAUGGGACAUGCAAAUUUGCUUGCCCUACUAUAUAGAUUAACGGGUUGGGUAGAAUUGAAGAGCAUUCAUGCAUCAUUAUUAUUAUUAACAUUAAUGUGAUAUUUGGCUGUGUGAUUGCAUGUCACUUAAUUUAGUUAUAUCAAUCUACUAUGGUAAGGUCUCAUAUCCCUACUAAGCUGUGGUUGCUCAUCCCUCACCCUGUUUACUUUUUCAGAUGAAUUAGUGGGCAAGACAAGGAGUAAAUCGGUUGGGGCUGAAUUAGAUGAUAGUGAUAGAGCUUUAUUUAUUUAUUGUAAAGUUGUAAGAUUUUGGAUCUAUUUUUAUAAAAGAAGUUUAUUUUAAACCAUGUUUUGGCUUUUAUCUAUUUAUUUUAUUUUAGUUUUUAUUUUCUCACGCACUGGGCGCGGGAUUUUUACGUACCUCGGUCCGGGGCGUGACACAAAUUUACCCAUAUUAAAUGCAUUAAUUUUAUAUUUUCUUCAAUUUACAACUUAAAGUUCAAUUAAAUAAACAUUUGAAAAUAAAUUUAAAUUUUUUUUUAAAUUUAAUGAACAUUCUAAUGGAUUAAAAAAGUUAAAAAAUAAAAAGAAAUAGAAAAAAAAGAAGAUGAAAAUCCAAACCCAUUACACCAUCUGUCUCUCUCUCUGACCCAAAACCCAGCCCCCUCCCUUGGCCAAAACAACAGUCCUCAUCCGUACCCAAUCAUCAUCAUCGCUUUCCAAUCCAAAACCCCACCAUCCAUUGUACCUCUCGCUCUCUCCUCCGAUUCCAUACCAAAAAACUCAUCCCCCUUCCCUCACCAAGAAAAAAGUGAACAAUUUUUUAUAUUUUAUAUUUUAAAUCAUUGACGUUAAUUUUGUGGAAUAUGUUAAUUCUCCCUUAAUGUUUUUAACAAGAUGCAAACAAAAGUUAGUUUGUUCAAUGCAUUUAAUAAGGUAAAUUUGAGAAACAAAAGAUACAUUGUCUAAUGUAUUAAUGGCAUUUUUUAAGUAUAAAAAGUGACACAUGUCAUGAGGGGAAGAGAGAAGGUUCAAAAGAGAAAGUUAGAGAGAAGGUUGCUAACAUUCCCCUUUUAUUAUAACAUGACUUUAGUCUUUAUGAGUCCCGAUCCCUUUAAAAGUAAAGUUUGAGUAAUAAAUUACUAAAAGAAAUAAAUUAUUAGGUGUUUAAUGUACAUACCCUUAAUAAAGCCUAAACAAAGGUGUUUAGGCAAAACUCUUCUCACUGCAAAAAUUCCUAGCACAUUCUCUCCCAAAAAACACUCCUAAAGCCGUUUUUACUUUGAAAAAGGAGGAAGCCAUUGUUCUUCCUCCCAUCUCCCCUCUCCCCUCUCCCCUCUCCUCUCUUCUUUCCUCAUUUUCAUAGACAAAAGGUUUUCCCUAUUUGUCUUCGUUUUGUUAUGACAGUCAAAGUGUUAUAUACUUAGUCAAGAACCAAGUGUUUCAUAGAAGGUCUAAGCAUAUUGAUAGACGAUAUUACCGGAUAAGAGAUUGGGUGAACAAUAAGGAUAUUGUAAUAGAGAAGGUUCAUACAGAUGAGAACGCUUCAGAUUGCUUGAUCAAGCCAGUCACAGCUAAGAAGUUCAGACAUUUUUGAGCUUGCUCAAUCUUGUUGCAUGCUAAAGAUUGAGGUGGAGCUCUUGGGAAUUACUAGAACGGUUUUCCAAGAGGGUUGAAAAGGAUCUAGGGGUCGAUGAUUUUCACAAGGUAUUUAAGGCUUGCCAAUGUGGAUAUUGUUGAUGUUGGCUCACCUCAAGAUAUGGAAGGAUUGAAGGAAACGGGCAGUCAAACGAGCAACAGACGUGUUGACUGGGCUCUGGCCCUCAAGUGGCAGAACUCUGACUCGAGAUGAAACAGGCGCUCGAGCGGCGCGAGUGGCGCUCUAGCAAGACACGUGAAUCCAGCGUGUAUCCCUGACUUAUCUGGACAGAUUUUCUCUUAGUUUUGAGAUGUUUUAGGUUUCCUAUUCCUUGUAUAAUAGUACUAAAAUCCCAUGAAGUAUAAAUAGGCACUUUAGCACUAGAUUUUGAUAACGUGAGAAAAUUAAGACAUCAAAUUGGGUUGAGCCAAGGGUGAAAGAAAAGAGAGUUAGGAUUUGUGAGAGAGCAAAUGGGCUUCUUCAUUGUAACCAAAGAGGUUCUUUCGUACUAGUGAAUUUCUUAGGGAUCACCAAGAGGACGUUGACACAACGGCAAACCUCUAUAAAUUCUUGUGUUCUUUGUUUGUGUUUAUUUUUCAGUUUGUGUGUGUGCUUUAUCUUUUCGUGACUUGUGUGUGAUUGUUGCGUAGUCAAUCAACAAUAUGGUCUUGAAGUGUUAUGAUUUUAAAGUGCCUAUGUCUUUGUCACUGUGUGUUUCGUACUUUUUGGAGCAGAAGGAAAAACACAAAACCACCGAACACUUUACAAUUUUGUCUGUCCUUUCCCCCUUAUUGAUAUCAUUGAAAUAAAAGUUGCAAUGAAACCACAAGGUGCCAUUAAGAAGGUCAUAUCAUUACAUUACUUGCUCCCUGUAUACUGCUCAUGAACCGUGAAGACUUUAUCCAUGUAAAGUCAUUUUCCCAUUCAUACCUGCAUUAGUUCCACAACUAACAAGUGCCAAAAAAAAGUCUCUCCUUUUAAUUCCGCAACGUGCAUUCAAUAAGAUUCAAAACGUGGCAGAAAACAGUCCACACAAACGCUUCACGUGGCCACGUACCUUGGACCAAACAGCAUGUACACAGUACAUACAUCUACCAUUCUUAUAAACUUGACUUUAAGUUGUAGAAAAUUUGAGAUUUAAAGGGGAUUUGCUCCAUCAUUUGCAUUCCAGAAUUCUAGCAAAGAUCAGAUUCAGUUUCUGCCAAAAAAAAAAAAAAGGAAGAAGAAGAAAGGUUUGCAUGGCUACCGGUGAAGUAACUGUAGUAGUGGAGAACAUAGAAGGGAACAUGGAAGGGAAAACUGAAGCAACAGACAACUCGAAAGAGAAAGUUGCAAGGUUAGUUUGUAUAUAUACGUACAACUUUAACAUGCAUGCACCAUUUUCAUUUUUCCUUUCUUAAAUAAAUAUUCUUAUAUCAAACAAUGCAAAGUCCCCACUACAGAACAUAACCUUUUCGUUCAAAAAAGAAAAAAGAAAAAAAAAGAACAGAACCUUUUGUUGUUUUGAGAACAACUAAAGUCAUUGCGUUGUAAUAAGCCAAAUAUUUAAACACAUAUGGUGGUACAUAUAAUAAAAUAAUACAUAGUAAAAUUAAAUUAAUGGACUGCUUUUUCUUGUCAAACGAGCUGAUAUGCGCAAAUUUACAUUUUUUUUUUUUUUUCGUUUUUGUUUUUCUCCAGUGAUCGUUAUUCAAAUUCAGAGGCAACAGUGAAAAACUCAGCCAUGAAAGAUGAAGAUGGAUCAAAUAAAAAAGAGGACGAAAAUCAUGAUACUCGUUGGGGGGCUUUCCUUCAAAUGUGGAAGAAGAUAUUUGUAGUAUCAUGUCUGUUUACUGUUGCACUGGAUCCAUUGUUUCUCUACGUUCCUAUGAUGAAGGAUGAUAUCAAGUGCCUGCUGGCCGACAGAAACUUGAAGACAACAGCUCUUCUUUUAAGAUCACUCACUGAUCUUUUCUAUAUAUUUGACAUUAUUUUGUAAAUUUAUACAUCUGCUAAAUAUCGUGUCAGUGUCACACAAAACGACUCGAAAAUAAGGUUUUCGUGGAAAUCAACAAUAGCUAAGAUGUGGGUAUUCUUCCGCUUCUACAAUAAUAUCUUCAUUGACAUUUUGGCUAUUCUUCCGCUUCCACAGGUUAGACCUUUAUUGGAAUUUACUGACUAGUAGCAAAAGAGGCAAAAGCCACAAUUUACCUAGCCACAGUGGGCCGACAGUGGCCAAUAUUAGUGAUCUUUGCUCGUGAUAAUUUGAUUUUAAAUGUUUGUAUUAUGUUGUCCAGGUAGCAAUUUUCAUCUUCCUUUCAAAAAUGAGGGACUUGAGAUCUUUGAGCACAAAAAGGAUGGCUAUUAUGAAUCUUUUUGUUUUGUUGCAAUAUGUGCCACGAGUUCUUCGGAUCUACUUAUCAUGUAAGGAACUUAAAAAAACUCCUAAAGAAGAGAUCAAAGAAACUGCUAUAUGAGUUAAAGGUGUCUUGAAUUUCUUUAUGUAUAUCCUGGUUAGUCAUGUAAGUAACAAUAUUUAAUCUUGAUAAAUGAUUUGGUUGGAUUUUUUUUUCCGUAAAAGGCUAGGUUCUUAACUCAAUCAACCUUGAUGAAUGGAAAAUGUACAUGGGGCAAAAUGAUCCAUAUUACAAUAGAGUAGGCAUAUACUUAAUAUUCUUGAGUUACAUUUUCACAAAACAAUAAUGUUUCAUAACAUUAAGUCCUUCUUCCAAUCCUUAUUCGUGUAUGUUCUUUUUUCCUUUUUGUUAUAACCAAAGGCAUUCAAACUCUAGUCUCUUGGGCGUAAGGGUAAAUACCUCGUACUGCUAUAGGUAGAAACUCUCAUAAUUUUCAGUCUAUGUUUAAAGGGUGAAGAUAAGUUGUUGAAAUAAGGAAACUGUCCUAAUCACGAGAAUCUAAUGUUGUGACGCAAGGAGGCGACUCCUUCCAAAUACGCCAAAUUUGACAGUAUUUGAUAAAUAUAUUUUGAUGUAUUUUUGUUUAACUUGAGUGAAGUCAAAAAUUAAAAUAUAAUUUUAUUCAUAUUUUCAUCAUCACCUCUAAGUCUAAUCUAAUUAACAAACUUGUUAUUAUUUAGGUACUUGGAGCUAUAUGGUAUUUUUUCGCUAUUCAACGAAUGACCAUUUGUUGGUGUGAUGCAUGUCGGAAAAAAAAGGGAGGUGAUACUAGUUCUUUUGGCUGUCAUGAGCAUAACACAUUUAGAAAUAUUAAAUUUUUAAAUGAUUUAUGCCCUAUAAGUCCAGCGAAUACAACGCUCUUUGAUUUUGGUAUAUAUAGUACAAUCCUUCAAUCUGGUAUACCAGGGUCAACAAAAUAUUUUCAAAAGAUCUCCAAUUGUUUUUGGUGGGGACUGCGAAAUUUGAGGUUUGUAAUUUUUUUUUUUUUUGGUGUUGUUUGUUUGAACUUUGAUGGGUAAUGAUGAAUUUGCUUACUUCCAAUCAUAUAUAUGUUUUACCAUUUCAUUUUUGCAGUUCUCUUGGUUAAAAUCUUGAGCCUAGCGUGGAUGGAUGGGAGAACCUCUUUGCUGCGUUCAUCUCUAUAAUUGGAUUGCUUUUAUUCUUAUAUCUCAUUGGAAAUUUGCAGGUUAGGCUUGAGUUUAAUUUAAAGAAAGUUGAAUGUAUCGUUUUUGAUUUGAAGGAUUCAUAAAUAACUAAUACCUAGUUAAGAAUGACUGAGCUGCUUGUUGUGGCAUGCAUAUAUAUAUAUAUAUAUAGACAUACAUGCAGUUGAUUACUGCACGAAGAGAAGACCAUAGACACAAGGUGAAAGUGAAACGAAAGAUGGAAAAGAAAGAUAAAGAGACAGUUGUGGUUAUCUGAAAAUGGCAUCCCCAAAAAGUUGAAGAAGACGGGGAUGCUGAUUUGGACUAUAUCUUCUCUAUUCUUCAAAUCCGUAUUAAAAAAUAUAUGCAGGUAAGUUCCUCUAAACCCAUGACUUUAAUUAAGUAGUAGUGGCCUUUCCAUCUACAUAUACUCCAGGCUGAAAACACCCAUCCUAAUCUCAUUUAGUAAAAAACAGUAAACAAGUACAUCUUUGAAAACUUGCAAAUUCAUAACCAAACUCAUGAAAGACCUAAAUGGACCAAAACCAUUUUAAUUGCUUACGUGACAAUAACGAGUCCCACUUUUUACUCUGAUAAGAAUUCCAGGUGGGUGAAAAAAAUUAAAAAAUUAUAUAUAUUUUAAAUUCAUUUACCACAUUUUUAUCCCACAUUUCUAUACCACAUGAUGUGGUAUGCCUAUAUCAUAUGCCAUGUCAAUUAAUUUAAUGAAGUAUAUCUCUAUAUUUAAAGCAAAAGGCAAAGAAUGGUGAAACAUUCAAAAUACUGGGAAAUGCCCUUGGUUAAUUCAAACAUUAAGAAUUGAACUUAUUAAUUAAAUGAGGAUAAUAUCAUAAAUUCACAUUUUUCUAUUUAAAAAAAUUAAAAUUAAAAACAAAAUAAGAUAAUAGGCCCUACUUUUAUGGAACAUAACUACUCAUGUUAUCUUUUCUUAAUUCUAAAAAUAAAAUAAAAAAUAAAAAAUAAAACCAAUUGGCACAUGCUCGGGCUAGUUCAUGUGCCAAGGGGCUAGUUUUAAUAAAGAAAUUUUAAUUAAUUGUGUUUUUUAAAGUGUUAAUAAAUCAUAAAAGAAAAAAAUUAAAUAAAUUUAAUUGAUGUGGUUGUCUACCUCAUUUGCCACAUAAGGUGGUAUACAAAUAUGAUAAGAGUAGCAUUAUUCAAAAAAGUUAUAAAAUAAUAAAAAACACAAUGAUCAACCAGCCCCACCUCCUCUCCCCGAUCUCCAUCCUCCGUUCCUCCCAGCCCCCAGCUCCCACCCCUUCACCGUCAACCUAACCCAUCCAUCCCCACCCGCUCCCUUUGUCUCCUACAAACCAACGACCUAACUCUCCCUCUCCUUUUUAAGAAACCAUAUGUCAAUGAAGGUGAAGACAUUCCCACCCAAACUUAUCUAAGAAACCCCAAUCAUCUUCCCAAUGGCGGGUAAUAGUUAGCUGGUGAAAGGACCCGCCCCGAAUUUUCUCAAAACUCGAGACGAACCCUUUGGAAUUCCUGACAUCACUUUGAUGCCAGACCCAAUUACUAAAGACCGAGACUUCCUGCAGGAAAUUUCGGCAGAGUCUCCCCUAUAAAUUGGACAUUUUCCAAAAUUUAUACCUGCAUGAAAACGCAUUUAAUAUUCCCAACUGGCAGCAUGCACAAUAUAAUUUCAUGCAAUUCACACAGAUGGCCUUCGGCCUUCCAAUAAUUCUUAACCAACUACCAAGCAAUUCAAAUACAAAUUAUGACUAAUAUUUAGUCUGCGGCUGCACCUAAUAACCUUAGGCUGCCUACGUACCCUCCUUGAAGGAUCAAGCCACACGUAGUUCUUCCCUAAAAAUCCAAUUCCACACUUGGGCGAUGCCUUAUUUCAUUUCUCUGUAUUUCACAUAUUCUCCCCAUACGCCGGUACAACCAACGCCACGUAUGAGGCCUGUCAACACGCCGGAUAACCUACGCCACGUGCGACCAUGCCAUACUAUCAUAAUAUCUCCUCAUACGCCGGUACAACCAACGCCAAGUAUGGGGCCUGUCCCAACGCCGGAUAACCUACGCCACGCGGGACCUCAAUAUCAUAUCACAAAUCUCCCCAUACGCCGGUACAACCAACGCCACGUAUGGGGUCUGUCGACACGCCGGAUAACCUACGCCACGUGCGACCUCAACACAAUAUCACAUAAUCUCCCCAUACGCCGGUACAACCAACGCCACGUAUGGAGCCUGUCUCAACGCCGGAUAACCUACGCCACGUGAGACCUGAACAUCAUAUUACAUAGCUCCCCAUACGCCGGUACAACCAACGCCACGUAUGGGGCCUGUCCCAACGCCGGAUAACCUACGCCACGCGGGACCUAACUUUCACUUGGCGGUACUUGUAGUGAAUCCAACAUCCGGGGCUCCGAUUCACGAUCUGUGAAUUCCUACACGAUCCUAGAAAUACGUAGAUUAACAUAUAUUAAAUUUGGGACCAUCCGACGGUCCCAACCUAUCGAACCCGGAUAACGCACAAUAUGCGAUUAUCCGUUCGAUAGUCAAACGAUGUCCGAAUUGAGAUCCGCGAAAUCCUACGCACUCGUGACAACCUAAGGAUCUCAUCGGAACACAGUGCUACUUUUCUACAGUGUCCACGCGCCGCCGCACGCUCCGGCAGCGUGUGGGUGCCCAAAGCGAUAACGCUUUGCCGGAAAAGCUCAAAACCACGGCUCCAAACUCCUACCCUAGGUAUAACACACUAUUUGGAGCCACUUUUGUUCUUGGACCUACCCCAAAAAGUGGCCGGAAAUGGCCGAUCACGGCGGCCGAAGUUCGGCCGAUUUUCAAUUUGAAAAUCGAGUUGUCUACGCUAAGAAUCGAUCUAAUCCUUUCCAACCAUCAGCUAGAGCAGCUCGAGAGGUUCAAAAUCCAUACCUGGGUCGACGGAAUUGGUGGCCGGAGGAGGGAGAUCGGCGGCUGUGAAGAUCCGGCGACGUCGGCCGCUUCUUCUCCAAAUUCCGGCGAAACCGCGGAUGCUGGAGGCGGGGGCUGGCUGGGGUAGAAAGAGGACGACGGCCAGGUCAUUUUGGUACCGAUCCCGUCGUCAUCGGUGGCCGGAGGAGAGCAUGGCCGGCCAAAACGUGACCGGCUGUCGCGCGCGAGAGAGAGGAGAGAGAGAGACCCGCGGGGGAGAGAGAGAGAGAGAGAGAGAAAAAUCUGAGUUUUAUAAAAAAUUCCAUUUCGAAAUAUUUACGAUUGUGCCACUGGGCUUCUUUUGACCAUAUCUCUCUCGUUACAACUCCGAUUCGAGCCCACUACGUGUUUAUGAACUCGUCUCAGUACGACCUUUUCAAAAAUACUAGUUACUGCCCCAAACUCUCUUCGGUUAAAAAUAUGACUAAAAUACUCUUAAAUAAUUAAUUAAUUAAAUAAGGGUUAAAUUCGGGGUCGGGGUGUUACAGCUGGUUUGUCAAAUCCUUCUCUCAACAACAAUCGGGGGACUCAAAGAAGCGCAAAGAGGCGCAGUUGCACCUCCCCUCGCCGGAUACCAUAGAAGUCAGUCAUUUUGACCCCUUGGGCGGCUGGGCAAGAAUGCCCACAACCUGUUUGUGGGAAAGCCGGAAUAAAGAGCAACAAAGCAGCAAGUGCGGUCUAUUUUUCUUUUUAAUAUGUUUUAAGAUCUCCGUGUGCAUUAUACGUGUUUAGUUUUUGUUCUAUCAAAGACCACAUCAUGCUGCUACUUUAGUUUGAGGGUAGAGCAGUCAUUAGAGCUUACUAGAAUAUGCAUUUCAUAAAAAAAAGAAGGAAUAAUUGGAAGUGAGUUUUCAUGUUUUAUUAGGACCACCAAAAAAGAAGUGGAGAGAUACUAGAGUUUGAUGGCUUAACCUAAAAAUAUUUUGAUAUAUAUAUAUAUAUAUAUACAGUCCCUUUUUAUUGAGGGAUUUCUCAAAUAAUUUCAUUUGAGGGACACCCUUUAGGGUCCUCUACGAAUUUUUUUUCAACGAUCGAAACCAUCUAUUUUUUAAGUCUAUAUUCAUAGAUAAUCCUUGAAGAAAAUUAGACAAAUCGGAAACUGUUUUGAUAUCCAAUUGUGUCCUACAAAAUCAAUGAACACAAUGCUUCAAGAAAGUACUAAAAUUUCAAUAAUUCAAUUGAGUGGUCAAAUGAUAUCGGAUUCAAGUGAUUUUUUGUAGAGAUAUCUUUGAAUGAGUAUCUACAAAAGAGAUGGUUUGGAUUAGUGAAAUACAAUACAGAGUGGGCCCUACAAUGGUAUCCCUCAAAUAAGCUAAUUUGAGGGAUCCCUCAAUGGAAGCUCUCUGUAUAUAUAUAUAUAUAUAUGAUCUUUGAAUGAGUAUCUACAAAAUAGACGGUUUGAAUUAGUGAAAUACAAUAUAAAGAGGGGCCUAAAAGGGGUGUCCCUCAAUGGAAGCUCUCUGUAUAUAUAUAUAUAUAUAUAUAUAUAUAUAACUUAACUCAAACUUCAGACUAAUGCAUAUGCAGAAAAUAAUGCAUAUAUGAAAUUAAUCAAAAUAGGAUAAUUUUGAAAAUAGCAACUUUUUAUUAUACUCACAGAGGUUGCAACUGCAAAUAAGCUUAUUUGAGGGACACCCCUGUAGGCCCCACUCCGGUUUGUAUUUCAAUAAUCCAAACCGUCUAUUUUGUAGAUACUCAUUCAAAGAUCAUCCCUACAAAAAAUCUCUUGAAUCCGAUAUCAUUUGACCACUCAAUUAAGUUAUUGAAAUUUUAGUAUUUUCUUGAAGUACCGUGUUCAUUGAUUUUGUAAGACACAAUUGGAUGUCGAAACGGUUUCCGAUUUGUCUAAUUUUUUGUUAGGAUGAUCUAUGAAUGAAGACCUAAAAAAUAGAUGGUUUGGAUCAUUGGAAAAAAAAUUGUAGGGUACCCUAAAGGGCGUCCCUCAAUAGAAGGGGACUGUAUAUAUAUAUAUAUAUAUAUAUGAAGCAAGUAUUUAGAACUUAAAUGAAGAAAACGCAUCCAAUUACAACCAUUACAUAUCAUCCUAGCUACACGGUACUAACUUUUAGAAGAUUUGCUUCAUAUUUUUCUCAAAUAUUGUAUCUAUUUAUAGGUGCCACUACUUAAAGGCAUGGACGAAGGAGUUUUGAGAGAAAUCUCUGAGAAGCUUAAGCCCGAGAAGUAUACCCGUGGAGAAAUCAUUAUAAACAAGGAUGAAACACUUGAAAUGAUGCUUUUCAUCGUGGACGGACAUGUAACCAUUGAAAAGGAAAAUUCUCAGUUGCAAUUAGGCGCACAAGAUUUUUAUGGAGAGAAACUUCCGUUAUCUGUUUUGUGGACCUCCUCUAGUGAUGCAAAACCCAUAAACGAGUCUGUUCAGGCCAUUGGACUGUUGCAAUCCAAUGGUACAAAUUCAAUUUUUCCAAUUUUUUUAAUUAAAAAAACUAAGUGUCUAUUUCCAAUCAGACAACCUUGAUUGAAUCUAAUGAAAUUUAACGGUAAAAAAAAUAUCCAAGGCCAAAAGGUUGAUAUUAGUUAAUUUAUAUCAUAUUCAACCUCGAAAAUGAUUCCUAGGUCUAUAUACCCACCCAUUUGUUCAUAAUUCGUGCCUCUUUCUUUUAUAAUCAAAUACAAUUAUAUUUUUAUAAUUUAUAACUUUCUAGUGAAAAUGUUCAUAAAACUAAUUUUUUUUAAAUGUAAACAAAAAUUAAUUCCAUACAAGUUCAUCAAAAAAUUUGAGAUUAAGAUACAAUACGAGUUUUAUUGGAGUUGAAUAUAAGUCAGUUUUUAAAAGUCUCGCCCAUUUAAAAGUAAAGUUCGAGUAAUAAAAGAAAUAAAUUAUUAACACACAAUACGAGUGCCCGUGAUAUUGAUGCAAAUUUACCCUUCUAAAUCAAUAAUUAUGGGCUAUUUUGUGCUCCAAAGUUCAUAUUCUGCUGAGCACUCAUCGCUUUAAUUUGGAUACUAAUCAGAAGGAUAAUUGCACAAAGCUGUGAAACUAAAUUAUAUUGAAUCUCGUGAAAGUCACGUACGUAUAGAUCCAUUUACAUAUAUUGAAUUAUCUAAUUUGACUUUGUCCUUCACGUGAUUCAAAUAAUGUGGUAAAAUUGUUUUUUAAAUAAUGAUGAUGAUGAUUUGCACCAACUUCCUAAAAAUGUGGAAAUUUUGUUUUUUUUUAAAAUUGCGAGUCGCCAUCUUCAUCUUCACCUUCAUUUGUGGUGACUUUGAUAGUCUAACUGAUAUGAUUUUAAAACGUCUAUGUCUUUGUCGUUGUGUUUGUCCUUCCUCCUCUGUCAACCACAAUUAUUGUUCACAGCCAGUUGCCUCUGAUUCGCUACACUUAGUGGAAGAGUAGUAGGGGACAAGGUUUAUCAAAUGUCUACUACACUAAGUCUCUCACAUAUCUUAUUUUAUAUAGCAAUUAUUGUUGAUCUAAACUCUUAGAAGCUUCAAAACGAGAGCAUCUACCAUUCUUAUAAUUAACUUGACUUCAGUUUGCUCCCAUCAUUUGCAAAUUCCACUAGCAAGAUCAGAUUCAGUUUCUGGAAAAAGAAAAAAAGACAAGAAAACAAAAAAGCUUUGAGUUUUAUAUGGCUUCCGCUCACGGUGAUUUAGAGAACGCUGAAGCAAGGUUGGUUUCUCUAUAUACGUACGAGUUUCAUAUGCAUGCCCCAAAUUCAACUUUUUUCCUUUCUUACAAAAAUAAAUGUUUUUAAUUAUAUUGUUAUUGAUCUAGAACAGUUUAACCUUUUGUUGUUUUAAGGACAUGCUAAAGUCAUUGCAUUGCUAUAACAUUAAUAAUAGUAUAAUCACAGCCAAAUCUUUAAUUAUAUCCUAUAUACGUAAUUUUAUGUUCUUUGUGUCUUGGCCAGCAGAACAGAUUAUCCAAAUUCAAACCAGACAACGGAAAAUUCUUCCACGAGAGAUGUAGAGGUGAAAAAUUCAAAAAAUGCAGCACGGUUGACUAAAAUAUUUAUAACAUCAUGUGUGCUUGGCGUUUUCCUGGAUCCUUUGUUCCUCUACAUUCCUCUCCUCAACCACGAUUUGAAGUGUCUGAGGUUGGACAACACCAUAAAGAUUAUCGCUCUCGUCUCGCGAUUGUUCACUGAUCUAUUUUAUGUAGGCAGAAUAAUUUUGCAAGUUUGUAGAUUUGAAAAUUGUUCGCCUUUCAUGAAUCGAAUUCUUCCCGAAAGUUGCUCCUCCAAGUUAAUAACAUCAUUCAUCAAAUGCUUUCGUGAGUUAUUACCUGAAGUAACUGAAGUUCAUGAGAAGGAAUAUCUAAUACCAAGUAUAACAAAGGAGAUACUGGAGUCGUCCAUCAUAGUUGACAUUUUAGCUAUUCUUCCUCUUCCACAGGUAUGAAGAAAAGCUCUUUGAUAUCUAGACUCUAGAUCCAGUAGUUAAUUGCUUUUCCAAUCUCACUGUUUUUAUUUUUUAUUUUGGUCAUAAAUCUCACUGUUUUUGUUUGCAUGCAAUGAUAUAUAUAUAUAUAUAUAUAUAUAUAUAUAUAUAUAUAUGAGUUGGUCCUUUAUGAGUUGUUCUCUACUACGGACGUCCAUAUUUUUUCUAACAUCGUCCUACAUGUUCUUUUGCCUUCCUUGUGAUAAUAAAUUAACCUUAUCACUUUUCUUGGUAAAGGUAGAAUAGAAACCAUGCUCUACCAAUACUUAAAAGUCAAACAUCACCUCUAGAUUGGCUUUUCCUUCAUUGGUGGCCUGUAGAGAGAAUUUGGAGGCUGUUAUGUGUGCUUUAGUGCCUUUUUUUUAAUGAUAAAGAAGAGAGAUGUAGAAAACAAAAUGGAAAUGGUUUUCUUCCCAUUGAAUGAAUGAAUUCAUUCUGAUCAUGUGAAAAAAACAAAACGAGUCUGGACAUUAAGCAAUUCCGGACGUCCGCACUAGAGAAUAGUCCUCUAUAUAUAUAUAUAUAUAUAUAUAUAUAUAUAUAUAUAGAGCUUUUAUUAAGGGAUUCCUCAAAUUAGCUUAUUCGAUGGACACCUUUGUAGGGUCUACUUCGCAUCAUAUUUCACUAAUCCAAACCGUCUAUAUUUUAGAUAAUCAUUCAAAGAUUAUCUUUACAAAAAUCACAAGAAUAUGAUAUCGUUUGAGCACUCAAUUGUGUUAUUGAAAUCUUAGUACUUUCUUGAAGCACCAUGUUCAUUGAUUUUGUAGGAUACAAUUGGAUGUCGAAAUGUUUUCCGAAUUGUCUAAUUUUUUGCAAGGAUGAUCUAUGAAUUUAGACUUACAAAAUAGAUGGUUUGGAUCGUUAGAACAAAAUUCAUAGUAUACCCUAAAUGGUGUGGGAUCCCUCAAUAGAAAGGGAUUAUAUAUAUAUAUAUAUUAGGGAUCCCUCAAAUAAGUUUAUUUAAGAGACACCCUUGUAGGACCCACUUUGUAUUGUAUUUCACUAAUUCAAAUCGUCUGUUUUGUAGAUAUUCAUUCAAAGAUCAUCUUUACAAAAAAAAUCACUUGAAUCCAAUAUCAUUUGACCAUCAUAUUGAAAAUUUUGUACUUUUUUGAAGCACCGUAUUCAUUAAUUUGUAAGACACAAUUAGAUGUCGAAACGAUUUUCGAUUUGUCUAAUUUUUUGCAAAGAUGAUCUAUGGAUGUAGACUUAAAAAAAUAGAUAGUUUGGAUCGUUGAAAAAAAUUCCGUAUGGGACCCCAAAUGUAAAUGGUGUCACCAUAAAGAUUCAAGGACUUUAUAUACUGUUAUAAUGAUCUGAAGACCAAGUGAUCAAUACCUCGGUGGCUAUAAGUAUCAUUUCAACCAUAUUAGAUAACAUUUUGACCAGUAGCGGGGCCAGUAUUUCACAUUAGAGGGGGUCUUUCAUAAAAUUUGUCUUCUCUUCAUAAUUAUCAUGAAUUUCAUAUUUUAAAUUGGUUAAAUAUUAAUUUUAUCAUCUAAACUAUUAAAGACUUAAAAAUUAAUCAUUUAUAUUCCAACAGAUAAAAAGAAAUGGGGAAGAAAAAAGAGUUCAUAAAGUGCAAUAUUAAGGUACCCAACUCAUACGAAAAAAAAAUUAGGAAAAUAAAAAAUUAACAAAAGUUUAAAUAAAAUGUUAAAACUUUAGGAGUUUUUUGUGCAAAUAUCAUAAACUAGCCUCGAAGAUUUAAGGGAGAUAAAGAAAUUUUACAGUUUAUUUGUAUACAAAAAGAACAUAAUAUUUUAUUUUAUUUUAGAGUAAAUAUCCUAAAAUCAAUCUAAUAUAUUAUAAUAUUGUAUAUCAUAUAUAAUAUACAAAUAAAAUAGGUAAAAAUGGAGUGGGGACAUGGGACCACACUGGUCCCAUGCUGGCUUUGCCCCUGAUUCUGACUAUGUUUGAUAGAAUGGAAUAAGAAUACAUUUAUCAUGAAGACUGGGCAUCGUCUCUGCUAUUUCGAUUUCAACCAAAUAAAACUAGGGUUAAUUUCAAUUAGAAUGCUAAACUUUCACCCUUAAGGCACGUUUGUCUAUGCACUCUCAAAUUUAACAAUUAUGAAUUCUAAUCUUAUUAAUUUUUUGCAAUCUAGUUUAUGCAUUAACUUCACUAGUGAAAUUUCUGUUAAUUGCCCACGUGGCAGACUUGUGACCUACUUAUUCACUUCUUUUAAUGCUAGUUGAAGGGUAUUUUAGACAAUUGAUGUCAAAUGGGUUUGGGUGGGAAUUUUUUUAUUUGUGUCAAAUGGUUUGGGAGAGGAGACACCAAUUGCCUGAAAAUACCCUUCAAAUGACUUCAAAAGAAGUGAAUAGGUGGGACCUACCAUUGCCACGUAGGUAAUUAACAAAAUUUUUGACAUGUAAAGUUAAUGUUGGAACCAUAUUUCAAAAAAUUAAUAAGAUUAGGGUACAUAACUAUUAAAAUUGCAAGUGCAAACAUGCCUUAAGGGUGAAAGUUCAUGGUACUAAAUUGCCCAUUCAUAUUUGAGUGAUUUUGUAAAACUGAGAAAAGUAUUGGAAAAUUGAUUUGGUUGACGAAAGGCAGACAUCCUGGCGAAGAAAAGGGUACUGUAUUGUAGUCGGUUCUUUCAAUUAGGACCUUUUUUCCCUCUAAAAAAUCAUUAAGACUUUUGAACUAAUUAAUAAAUCCAUAUCAUUAAGCGAUGAUAUGACAUUGCCAUGUCACUUGGGAUCCAAUUGUCAAGUCACUUGAUACACAAAUUUAGUAUUUCUAGUAUUACCCUAAUUUAAUAUUUUGUCUCACGAUAUGUUGUUAAUAGUCGAUAUUAACAUUGCAACGUGUCCAGGUGGCAAUUCUCAUUUUCUUCCAAAGAUGAGGGUCUCAGAUCUUUCGGGGAGCGUAUUAUGAAUUUUCUUGUUAUGGUGCAAUAUGUACCACGAGUUCUUCGCAUCUACCUAUCAUGUAAGAAAGCUAGAAAACCUUUCAAAGGACAUAUCCCAUUAUGGCUUAAAGGUUUACUCAAUCUUUUUCUCUACGUUCUCGCUAGUCAUGUAAGUUUCACUUUAUCAUAAUUUAUUUAAUUUUAAAAAGUUCGCUUUCUUUAAAUAAAGGAUCAUAUUUUUCUCAAAAGUUCAAUCUAACAAGUUUGUUGUUUCUUUAGGUGCUUGGAGCGUUUUGGUACUUUUUUGCUGCUCAACAAAUGAUAAGUUGUUGGGAACAUGCAUGUCAAUAUGGAAAUGGAUGUGGCUCUACUACAUUUAAUUGUCACGAUCACCAAACGAUGAAAAAUAUUACAGUUCUAAAUAAUUCCUGCCCUAUAGAUCCACCAGAUACAACUCUCUUUGAUUUUGGUAUAUACCUAAAUGUCCUUCAGUCAGGUGCAUUGUGGUCAACAGACUAUCCCCUGAAGUUUUUGAACAGUUUUUGUUGGGGCCUGCGAAAUUUGAGGUUUGUACAUGUGAAACCAACGUAUACAUUGAUGCUGUUUUUUAAACUAGAGAGAUGGUUUUAGAUUUCCUUACAUUGAGCAAUUGAGAUUUGUAUAUAUUAUGUAUUCUGAUCCAUUUCAUGUUUGCAGUUCUCUUGCUUCAAAUCUCCAACCGAGUUUCUAUACAUGGGAAAUCGCCUUUGUAGCUUUUAUAUCUAUAAUCGGCUUGAUACUGUUUGUAUAUCUCAUUGGAAAUUUGCAGGUUGGUGCGGUGUAUAUAAAAAGUUCUCCUUAAGCUUAAAGCUCCUAAUUUGAUUUUUUUUUUUCCCUCAUUUAAUGAACUGAACCUUGUUGUUGUGAAGUAGACCUAUGUGCUUAUAGAUACUGAAAGGUUAGAGUCGCACAGACGCGAGAAUAAACUUAAACGGAAGAUUAAAGAAAAUGACCGAAAGGUAGAAUCAUGGUUAUCCGGCCAUGGCAUCCCCCUUAGCGAAAAGCAGAAGAUCAUGGAAGAGAUACAAAGAGAACUUGUUGAAAACUCGGAUUUUGAUGUGGUUAGGGAAAUCCUCUCUAUUCUUCCCCGCGAAUAUAUCAAAAGUUGCAGCCCAUUGAGUAGGCUGAGGAAGGUAGGUUCAUCGAAAACGCAUCGUAUUUAAAUUUUCUCCACCAUUAUUCGUAUCCAAUGAUGAUAUAUAUAUUAUAUUUUUAAUUGCUGAUUAUUUUUCUCAAAUAUUGUAUCUAUUUCUAGGUGCCACUACUUAAAGACAUGGACGAAGGAGUUUUGGUAGAAAUAUCUGAGAAGCUUCAUCCCAAGAAGUAUACUCCUGGACAAAUCAUUAUAAACAAGGAUGAAACACUUCAAAUGAUGCUUUUCAUCGUGGACGGAUGUGUAACCAUUGAUAAGAUAGAUUAUUCUCAGUUGGAACAUCUACGCCCAGGAGAUUUUUAUGGAGAGGAACUUCUAGUUUCCCCAUUGUGGACCUCGUCUGGUGAUGCAAAACCCAUAAACCAGUCUGUUCAAGCAAUUGAUGAUGUUCAAGCCCUUGUUCUCUCUGCCACAGACAUGGCGACCUUGAGCUUUAGUUCCAGGCGGCAUAUCAACGAGUUGCGCAUGGUGGUAACUAUUCUUCAGAAAGUAAGCUCCUCUCUAUUUAGAAGAUAUAUAAAAGAUGAAUAAUUGGAUUCUCACCUUCCAUCCUUGCUAGCUACUAACAUACAAUGACGUUACUUAUUUGUUUUAUAUAAUGUUCUCUUUAUGUUUGAGAAAUUAAUAAUGUGUCAAAUCCUAGGUGCCAAAACUUCAAACUAUGGAUAAACAAGUAUUGAAAGCAAUGUCUCAUCAUCUUUCUCUGGUUAGCUACAAACGCGAUGACUAUAUUGUUCGAGAGAACCAACCAGUUAGGAGGAUGUUCUUUGUCACGAGAGGAGAGGUAACAAAAAAUGAGAACCCUCUCGAAGAAAAUUUUAUUGGAGAAGAACUUCUUGAGUGGGUACUGGAUAAGUCUUUUCCUACCAUAGUACCCCUGUCGACCUGCACUGUUAGAGUAGUCUCAAAUGAUGCCGAAGUCCUCAUUUUGAAGGCCAGGAUGUUGAAGAGUGUAGUCUCUAAGUUCAUGAAGCAUUUCAGCAAUUUCGCCUCUCCCUCAGAUAUCCGGUUGACUUGGCUAAAGAAAGUAAGUUGCUCCAUCUGCAGUACUAACUUUUAACCAAUUUGCUUUAUAAUUUUUCUUGACUGACAAUGUCACAUCUAUCUAAUUUUAGGUGGAAAUCUUUCAACAAAUGGAUGAACAAGUGUUGGAAGCAAUAUCCAAGUGCCUUAAGCACAUGAACUUCAAUGUUCCCAAGCGCCAUAUUCUUCAAGAGAAAAAACCACUUAAAAUGAUGUUCUUCGUCAUCCGAGGAGUUGUAUUAAUUGAAAGCGAUAGUGCUAUGGAAAUAGGAAGUUUCUAUGGAGAAGAACUUGUACAUUGGGUUACAACUUGGGUACACAAGUCCUUUCCUGCCAAACUACCUUUAUCACCUGGUUCUGCGCUAUGUAGUGUGCGUGGUGGUCCUGUCGAAAUACUUGCUCUCAAAGCCGACGACUUGAAGAGUGUAGUCUCUGAAUUCAGGUCGAAAUUCAGCAAGGAAACCACCCUGCCUACAGAUUCUGAUCAACCUCGAGAACUGACCAUCCUAAAGAAUGUAAGUUCCUCUGGAUGAAGAGAACCUGACCUAUAUAUAUAUAUAUAUAUAUAUAUAUAUAUAUUAUAUCCUAUAUAUUUUAAUCAUUAUUCUAAUUUCUCCUUUGCCUUAAAUAAAUAUGGUCUCCAAUAAUAUCCUAGGUGGAAAUCCUUAAGACUAUGAAUGAGGAAGUGUUGAAAGAAGUAUGCAAGCAUCUUAUCAAAAAAACGUAUAAAGAUGAGUACAUUAUUAUGAAGGAUAAACAAAUGGAAAUGAUGUUCUUCAUCGUCAGCGGAGUUGUGUCAGUAACAAACGAGAACUCAAAACAUUACCUUAGAGAAGGAGAACGUCCAAAUCACAGUGGAGAUGAGCUUAUACAACGUUGGGUGCGAUCUAAAUCUGCUGGCGUUUCUGCCGAAUUGCCCACCUCUCCUUCUAGCUUUUGGGCCAUCGGUGAAGUUGAAGUUCUGAUUCUUAAGGACGAAGACUUGGCAAGUGUUCAGCUUGGUGAUCGAAUUGGUUAGUAUUAUCAUGUAUGUGCAACUAAUUAAUUAAUUAAUUUUGUCGUGAGUUGUGCAUAUAAUAAAGGCAUGUGUGUAGUAAUAAGAUGUUAUCUUCCCACCGCGGCUACAUGCCUGCUUAUAUACAUACGUACUUUCGUUGUCUGAUUGCUAGUAUUUGAUGAUCUUGGCAGGCUCUUGAAGAAAUGGCAAGGAAGAGUGAUGGUACGAUUACUUGUCCAAGGACAGGUUUGGUUUGCAAUUAAAUAAAUCUGGUGAAGGCAUGUGUGCGUGUAUUUAUAUAUGUGUGUGUAUUUAUGUAUGCAGCCCCGCCUUAGUUGUGACCUUUGUUGGAAGAGGUGUUGUGGGGUAAGUACUCUUUUUUUUAUACCAAAUUUUCUUCUUCUGGGGAUUGUUUAUUAGAAAAGAAUUAUUAUUUUUUAUUUUUGGUCUAAAAUCAUAUCAUUAAAAGGAGCCCUGGAAAAGGAAAAAAAGCUGGCAUCAAAUUAUGAAAAAAAAUUAUUUUUUUGAGAGGCUAACUUCAACAUUUUUUUUGUUUAAUUAUCCAAGGCUUAGGCUUGAAAUCAAUAUGUUUUUCAUGAACCUUGUCAAAAUCGAAAUUCUCAUUACAUCACUAGCUAGCUAGCAACAAGACAAUGAAUUAUAUGUCGGCCAUCAUGAUACUAUACGAGUUCGGCAUUAAUUUCGAUUUGAUUUUGCAUCCCACUAGAACUAUAGUAGAACCAAACAAUUCAUCAUGUCCACGUCUGACAUGAAGAAGUUAAGCGUUUGAAGAUGACCCAAGAAAGUGGUCUCGGUCUCUUUGGGAGAUGGAGAUGGAAAGAAAUUCAACUUAACCAGUCCCUUAGCAGCUGAAUAAUCCCAUGCAAUAACCUCGAGCUUAAUGGCUACUUCUCUCAUGGAGGGCCUUUCAUCCUGCAACCCUAAACAGCUUUUUGUGAGAUCAACCACUUCUUGAUUAUUUUACCAUCAAGAAUUUAAUCCAAGCGACCCUCUUCCACUGAACGCGCAAAUAUAUAUAGUCCAUGGUCAAGCGUUUGGGAGACGAACAAAUUUAUGAGAAGAAGAUUUCGGUAGAAGACUAGAAGUCUGGAAGUCAACAACUUUCGCAUUUCUUUUAUUUAUAAUCCAAGUCUUGAAUUAAAAAUGUUUUUCAUGAGGACUUGCAAAAUGAAAUUUGCUUUGGUUGGGGAGGAGAAGGAGAAGAGAAGUAGAUCUAGUCUCGAUGCUUGCUAGCUUUAACAUAUUUUAUUAAAGCCAGGAAUUAAAAAUGUUUUUCAUAAGAACUAGCUAGCACUGCAAUUUAUAAAAUCACACAUCUUGCCAAAAUGAAAUUUGCUUUGAUUUGGGAGACGAACCAAUUUACUCAACAAGACUCGGGGAGAAGACCAGAUUUUAUUCUCAAUGCUAUAACAUAACAUUUUUUUCAAAUCCAAGUCUAGAAUUAAAAUGUUUUUUUUUUAUUGCAACUAGCUAGCACUGGAAUUAAAAGCAAACCACCUACCAAAAUGAAAUUUAAUUUAAUUUUUUUAUAUUAAGAGAGGCAGUUUGAACUUAAUAUUUUUUUUCAAUAUUUGAAGGAACUUAGUGAUCACUAACUGUUAGAUCUAAUCCAAUGGUGAUUAAGGAUCGUCACAUCUAUUUAUGAAAUAAUAAUAAUUUUAUACUAAAAACAUUGGUUAAAAGUUCAAUUAUACGGAAAAAUAAUUAAGGAUUCUCCUUCUUUAAUCGUAUUCAAUCUCUAGAAACGCCUUCCUUCGCCUCCCUUCUUUCUUUUUUGGGGUAGGGUUUUCUCUCUUAUUAAAACAGUUAUUCUUGUGUUAUUCUGAAAAAUUAUCCAGAAAACCGUAGUGUAGUGAAGUUGAAAAAGAAAGGAAAAUCAUUAUAAAAAAAUAGUUACAACACAUUAAAGGAUUCUUUGCCAGAUAGAGUUCAAGAAGAAGAACAGAUUCUCAAAGGAAAUACGAAAAGCAAAACUUGAACUUGAGGAGGGAGAGAAAGAGGGUUCAGCCGUGCCCAACGAUAAAACCAAUUGAGUUCAGAUUCAUAUUAACUCGUUGAUGGACGUGACUAAAAAGGAGAGGAAACAAGGAAGUUGAAAACCCCUAGUCAUUAUGCUGUGAGUUGGGUCAGCUUUAAUUUAUUUUUAGUAUAAUUGAACCCAGGCCAGUGUUUUUUCAUGUAAAAUUAUUUUUUCUUAAAUUGAGGCCUGAAUCAUUAUGUACCGUUGGAUUAUAUCUAAUGCCACGUGACCACUAAGUUCCCUGCACCUUGAUGAACGAAACUAUAUUGAAAGAAAUUUCACAUUCUAACCACAUGACAGACAUUGACAACAGUAAAGUGUUAUGCAGCAUAAAAAAAAUAAAGCAAUAAAGCUAAAGUGUUCUGACAUGGUUUUGUUUCACGAGGUACUCACUCCAGUUGAAACAAAAUACAUCGUUAGGAACAAGCCAAAUUAGCAACAAAAUGCCUCUCGCGCUAAUCGAAGUAGUUGCAAAAUUAACUAUUGGUUGGAAAGACGAAGGAAAUGGUUACAAAAAGACUUGGGUUGGGGACAAGAUAAGACUACAAGUCUAGAUCUAAUGUGAAUGCUAAAGUUAAAAAUGUUUGUUUAUGACAACUAGUAGUUACUAUUGCAAUUAGUUGAAACGACGUGCCAAAAUGUUGAUAACUAAGAUAAAAAAAACUUAUCACAUGAAAUUCAAAAUCAAUAUAAAUUUUAUUUAUAAAAUUAUAAACUUACCUGAUGAAAUUCAUAAUAAGAUUCAUAGCCAAUAUAUUGCAAAUCUGUAUAUGAACAAUGUGUUGUACCAUAACCAUACUUUCAGGUCAAAUUAGACCAGUUUCCAGAUUUGGCUUCAAAGGUUCAUGUGCAAAUAUUUUUAACUUGGGUGUUUUCACGUGGUUAUUAUUUAGAGUUUACCUUUCGUUUCGAUGAAGAAAUUGAAAAUUACGUACAAUUUUAAAAUGAUGGAAUUUAGAUUUCCGUUGUUUAAAUUUCUGACAAUUAAUAAUUUUAGUGUUUAAAUUUAUAUAUGUCAAAUUUUAUAAAUGACAAACAAUUAUAGGGACAAUAUAAAUGAUCAAAUACACAUCUUUUGACGGAAAUCUCGACUUCCAAUCCAAACAAAUUUUUGUACAGCCAUCUUAACGAUAGAAUCGUAUUAUAACAAAUUUUCAAUGUCUAAUUACUUUAUUAUUAAAAUUUAAAACAUAAGGAUAAAUAUGUACAACUUCAAGAUACCAACCUAAAUUAAUCCUAACGAUAAUAUUGAUAGCCUCGAGCAAUAAUUAAUUCUACAACUAAUACAAUUGCUCACUGGCAAUUUUUGUUGUUGUUGUUGUUGUUGUUGUCAAAAUAGCUCACUCUCUUGCUGCCAAAAAAAAAAAAAUAGUCUCUCCUUUAGCGCCCGUGGAACCCAGGUGCAUUCAAGAAGAUUCAAAACGUGGCUGAAGACAGCCCCGACAGCAUCUACCAUUCUACUAUACCUUUCACUAUUUUUUCUAAAUAUUUUCAUUGGUCUUAUUAUAAAUUUAUAACUUGACUUCAGUUGUAGAGAAUUUAAGAUUUAAAGGGGAUUUGCUCCAUCAUUGCAAAUUCCAGACAACUGAAGCAACUGUAGAGAAGAUGGAAGAGAAAGCUGAAGCAACUGUAGUUGCAGACAACUGGAAAGAGAAAGCUGCAAGGUUAGUUUCUAUAUAUACGUAUGCAUGCAAAUUUCACAUUCUUGUGAACUGUGAAGAAAGUGGUUGAAGUACGUAUUAAACUUUUUCUUCUGUCUCUCUUAAAUCUGGAUAAGAAUUUUGUUACUUGGGUUCCUUUCCUUAAAUGUUCUGCUCAAUCCGACAGGCGGUGGAAUUUUCUUUGUGUCCUGCCCAGCAGUAGCUAUGAUCCAAAUUUAAAUGCAGCAAGGUUGAACAACAUAUUUAUAUCAUCAUGUGUGCUUGGCGUUUUACUGGAUCCUUUGUUCCUCUACAUUCCCAUGCUCAACCAAGAUAUCAAGUGUAUGAAGUUGGACAACACCUUAAUGAUUGCAGCUCUUGUCUCACGAUCGUUCACUGAUCUAUUCUAUAUAGGCAGAAUUAUUUUUCAAGUUUGUAGAAUUAUUUUGCAAGUUUGUAGAUUUAAAAACUGCCCAGCUUUUAUGAAUCUAUUUCUUCCGGAAAGUUCCUCCUCCGAGUUAAAUCAAUUAAGGAAUGAAUACUUGCCAAAGUCAAGUAUAGCUAAGAAGAUAUGGCAGUCGUCUAUCAUAGUUGACAUUUUAGCUAUUCUUCCUCUUCCACAGGUAUGAACAAAGGCCCUUGCUUCGAUCUGGCCAGUACUCUAGAUCGAGUUAAUUGCUUUCCAAGCUCACUGUUUCUGUUUUUUUUUUCCUUCUUUUUUUCUUUUUGUUUGGUAAUUCACUGUUUUUUGUUUGCACGCAAUGCUAUUUCAAUAUAUAAGAGAUUUUGCUCCAAAUAGUCGAUAUUAACUUUGCUAUGUUUCCAGGUGGUAAUUCUCUUUUUCUUUCUGAAAAUGAAGGGAGGAUCUUUUGGGAAGCAUAUUAUGAACAUUCUGAUUAUGGUGCAAUAUGUACCGCGAGUUCUUCGCAUCUAUCUAUCAUGCAAAAAAGCUAAAAAACCAUUCAAAGGACAUAUGGCAUUAUGGGUUAAAGGUUUACUCAAUUUUUUUCUUUACAUUCUGGCUAGUCAUGUAAGUUUCACUUUUAUCAUAAUUUAUUUUAAUUUCAAAACGUUACUUUACUUUACAUAAGGAAAAUACUUGUCUCUUUUUCAUGCAAGAACUUCUACUUUCUUGCCAAUCAUAAUCUGACAUAUGCAAAUAAAAUAUAUAUUUUUUAUUUUUUUAUAAAUUAUUUUUGCAUAUAUGUCAAAUUAUGUUUGAUAGUAAUGUCUCAUGUUGGGAAGGAGACAAACUGUGUUUGAAAUUUUAUUUUCAUAAAAACUUAUUAGCAUCAUAUAAAAUUUUCACAAAAGUUCAUUCUAACUAGCUUGUUGGUUUCUUUAGGUACUUGGAGCUUUUUGGUACUUUUUUGCCGUGCAGCGACUAAUAAGUUGUUGGGAACAUGCAUGCCGAUAUGAAAAUGGAUGUGGCAGUAGUACUUUUGACUGUCAUGAUCACCAUACGUUGAGAAAUAUUACUGUGCUAAAUGAUUUAUGCCCUAUAAAUCCACAAAAUUCAACUCUCUUUGAUUUUGGCAUAUAUCUAAAUAUCCUUCAGUCAGGUGUUUUGUGGUCAACAAACUAUCCCCUGAAGUAUUUGAACAGUUUUUGUUGGGGCCUGCGAAAUUUGAGGUUUGUACAUGUGAGACCCUUUGAUCUUACAGAUUGGGUUAUAAUUACAAAUAAAUAAACAUCUAAAUUUGCAAUCCGGAGGAUUUUGUUUUUGUUUUUUUUAUAAAAAAAUUAUAAUAAUCAACUAGCCUUUGAAGUGUUGGUAUCUUUGUCGAAAGAAGUACUCUUUGCAUGGUAUUUUGAUUAAUUACCCAAAGAAAGUUAUUAAUAAGUACAUAAUCAUAAUGUGUUCCAUGUAAAGAUGAAUACAAUUAACUUUUUUCUUUCUUUCUAGGAUGGCUGUAAUUUAUAUGCCCUACAUGGACAAAAUGCUGGGUCUGGAACUAGAGAAAUGGUCUUAGAUUUCCGUACAUUGAACACAUUAUAGUCAUUUUAUAAUGAGGGCAAAUUGGUUAGCCGUUAGAUUAAAUUGGUUAGUCAUUUUAUAACUUUUGAUUUGUAUAUCUUAUGUAUUGUGAUCCAUUUCAUUUUUGCAGUUCUCUUGCUUCAAAUCUCCAGCCGAGUUUCAAUACAUGGGAAAUCCUCUUUGUGGCUUUUAUAUCUAUAAUCGGCUUGCUACUAUUUGUAUAUCUCAUUGGAAAUUUACAGGUUGGUGCACUGAAUAUCUUUAUAUAAAAAGUUAUCCUUAAGCUUUCAGCGAUCCUGAUAUAUGUUUAUUUAUUUUUCUCAUUUGAAUACCCAUCUAUAUAUAUAUAUAUAUAUAUAUUUAUUUAUUUAUGUUUUUUUUUCCCGGUCAAUGUGUGUGUCUAUAUAUAUAAAUUAGAAUCAAUGAACUGAAACUCUUGUUGUGAAAUAGACCUAUGUGCAGUUAGAUACUGAAAGGUUAGAGUCGCACAGACGCAAGAUGAAAAUUGAAAUGAAGAUGAAAGUAAAAGGCCAAGAAGUAGAAUCAUGGUUAUCUAAAAAUGGCAUCCCCCUGCAUAAUAUGCGGGUGAUCAUGGAAAAGGUACGACAAGAACUUGAAGAAAACUGGGAUAUUGAUGUGGUUCAGGAAAUCCUCUCUGUUCUUACCCCCAAAUAUAUCAAAAGUUGCACCCCGUUCAGAAGGCUGCAGAAGGUAGGUCAGAAGCUAGUUUAUACAAUAUAUAUAUAUACCUACACAUUUGUUUUUAACCAUCCGAACCAUCUAUAUUUUAAGCCUACAUUUAUAGAUCAUCAUUAUAUUUCCAGUAUGUAUUAAUGGUUUUUUUAUUUAUAAUAUAUUUUUGUUAUUUCCAAUAUGUACUAAUGUUAAAAAUGUAUGUUUAAUGUGUGUCCCCGAUCCUAUAUAUAUAUAUAUAUAUAUUAGAUUUUUAAUUGCUGAUUAUUUUUCUAAAAUAUUAUAUAUAUUUCUAGGUGCCACUACUUAAAGACAUGGACGAAGGAGUUUUGAGAGAAAUCUCUGAGAAGCUUAAGCCCAAGAAGUAUACUCCUGAACAAAUCAUUAUUAAGAAGGAUCAAACACUUGAAAUGAUGCUUUUCAUCGUGGACGGACGUGUAACCAUUGAAAAGGAAAAUUCUCAGUUGCAAUUAGGCGCAGGAGAUCUUUAUGGAGAGGAACUUCUAGUUUCGCCAUUGUGGACCUCCUCUGGUGAUGCAAAACCCAUAAACGAGUCUGUUCGGGCCAUUGAUGAUGUUCAAGCCCUUGUAAUCUCCGCCACAGACAUGGCGACCUUGGGCUUUAGUUCCAGGCGGUCUAUCAACGAGUUGCGCAUGGUGGUAACUAUUCUUCAGAAAGUAAGCUCCUUUUUAUUUAGAAGAUGUAAUGAUGUUACUUAUUUGAAUUAUAUCAUGUUCUCUAUAUGUUUGAGAAAUUAAUAAUGUGUCAAAUCCUAGGUGCCAAAACUUGAAACUAUGGAUAAACAAGUAUUGAAAGCAAUGUCUCAUCAUCUUUCUCUGGUUAGCUAUAAACACGACGAUUAUAUUGUUCGAGAGAACCAACCAGUUAGUAUGAUGUUCUUCGUCACGAGGGGAGAGGUAACAAAAAAUGAGAACCCUUUCGAAGAAAAUUUUAUUGGAGAAGAACUUCUUGAGUGGGUACUGGAUAAGUCUUUUCCUACCAUAUUACCCUUGUCGACCUGCACUGUUAGAGUAGUCUCAAAUGAUGCUGAAGUCCUCGUUUUGAAGGCCAGGAUGUUGAAGAUUGUAGUCUCUAAGUUCAUGAAGCAUUUCAGCGAUUUCGCCUCUCCCUCAGAUAUCCGGUUGACGUGGCUAAAAAAAGUAAGUUGCUCCAUCUGCAGUACUAACUUUUAAUGAAGAAAACACAUCCAAUUAAAACCAUUAUAUAUCAUCCUAGCUACCCAGUACUAACUUUUAGAAGAUUUACUUUAUAUUUUUCUUGACUGACAAUGUCGCAUGCGUCUAUCUAAUUUUAGGUGGAAAUCUUUCAAAACAUGGAGGAACAAGUGUUGGAAGCAAUCUUGCAGUGUCUUAAGCCCAUGAACUUCAAUGUUGCCAAGCGCCAUAUUCUUCAAGAGAAAAAACCACUUAAAAUGAUGUUCUUCGUCAUCCGAGGAGUUGUAUUAAUUGAAAAUGAUAGUUCUAUGGACGUGAACAUUAAAAAAACAUGUGAAAUAGGAAGUUUCUAUGGAGAAGAACUUGUACACUGGGUUACAACUUGGGUAUCACACAAGUCCCUUCCUCCCAAACUACCUUUAUCACCUUGUUCUGCGCUAUGCGGCGUGCUUGGUGGUCCUGUUGAAAUCCUUGCUCUCAAAGCGGACGACUUGAAGAGUGUAGUCUCUGAAUUCAGGUCGAAAUUCAGCAUGGAAACGGCCCUCCCCACAGAUUCUGAUCAGCCUCGGGACCCGUUGACCAUCCUAAAGAAUGUAAGUUCCUCUGGAUGAAGAGAAACAGACCUAUAUAUAUAUAUAUAUCCUAUAUAUUUUAAUCAUGAUUCUAAUUUCUCCUUUGCCAUAAAUAAAUAUGGUCUCCAAUAAUAUCCUAGGUGGAAAGCCUUGAGACUAUGGAUGAGGAAGUGUUGAAAGAAAUAUGCAAGCAUCUUACCCAAAAAACAUAUAAAGAUGAGUACAUUAUUCUAAAGGAUAAACAAAUGGAAAUGAUGUUUUUCAUCGUCAGCGGAGUUGUGUCAGUGACAAACGAGAGCUCGAAACAUUACCGCAGAGAAGGAGAACAUCCAAAUCACAGUGGAGAUGAGCUUAUACAACAUUGGAUGCGAUCUAAAAGUACGGAUGCUAACGUUCCUGCCGAAUUGCCCCCCUCUCCUUUUAGUUUUUGGGCCAUCGGUGAAGUUGAAGUUCAGAUUCUUAAGGCCGAAGACUUGGCAAGGGUUCAGCUUGGUGAUCGAAUUGGUUAGUAAGAUUAUGUAUGUGCAACUAAUUAUUAUUAUUUUUUUUUGUGAGGUGUGCAUAUAAUAAAGGCAUGUGUGUAGUAAUAAGAUGUUAUUUUCCCAUCCGCGGCUACAUGCAUGCUUAUUUACAUACGUACUUUCGUUGUCUGAUUGCUAGUAUUUCUUGGUGCCAGGUUCUUGAAGAAGUGGCAAGGAAGACUGAUGGCACGAUUACUUGUCCAAGGACAGGUUUGGUUUGCAAUUAAACAAAUCUGGUGAAGACAUGCGUGUGUAUAUAUUUUUGUGUGUGUGUGAUCAAGUGAAACUUAAGCUCGCUGCGGGUCAACUCACAAUUGUGCCAAAUCCCAAAACUUUGAGCCAAGCUGGACCCGUCCCGGCCCAUGAUGAUCCCAGAGUCUGGAAGCCAAAAACUUUCCAGAGCCUAGAUCUAGUCUCGACGCUUGCUAGGUUUAACAUAUUUUAUUAAAGCCCGGAAUUGAAAAUGCUUUUCAUGAGAACUAGCAAGCACUGCAAUUUGCCAAAAUUAAAUUUGCUUUGUCUUGGGAGACGAACGAAUCUAGUCAACAAGACUUGGUGGGGACAUGACCAGAUUCUAUUCUCAAUGCUAAAAUAACAUUUUUUUAUUUAUCCAAUUCUAGAAUUAAAAGAUUUUUAUUGUGACAACCAAACAAGCUACCAAAAUGAAAUUUAAUUUUUUUUUAUUUUUUGAGGUCCUUUUCUAUUGAAAGGAGCGAUAGUAUAUUAAACUCACACACACAAUACAAAUACUAAGACUCGAACCCAGGACCUUAUCUGAGGGAGUAAAUACUCCAAACCACUACACUAGUUGGUCCUUUGUUUAAUCUAUUUAUUUAUAUUAAGAAGGGCAAUUUUAACUUCAUAAAUACUAUUAAACUAAUAAUAACUAGUUGGCAAAAUAAAAUUUACUUUUGUUUAAUAGUUUACGGCCUUCUCUUCUCAACUUCUUGUGCGCGGUAAAAACUAGUACACGUUUAUAUAAUUUGUAUGUUCCAAUCUUCUAGUUACUGUCGGGGUCAUCUAUAUAAUAGAUACGGAUGUUGGCAUAAGACCUUAAUAAAAAUAUUAAAAGCAUUAAAAUCCGGAUUAAUAGGUUUUUUUUAACUGACCAAAUGCAAUUAAGUAUUAAUUUCUUUCAAAUGUUAAAAUAUAUUUUAAAUUCUAAUCACCCUCUCUCAGUAUCGCUUGUAUCAAAAACAUUUUAAACUCUAAUCCGCGUCUCCAAUUAGUUAAAAAAACAUAGCUCUAAGAUUUACAUUAUAACAACAAUAAAGUAUUCUGACAAUGGGCACCCACUUAAAUCGAAACACAAUACAAUUAAUUACAUAGUUAGGAACAAACCAACUAGCAACAAGAUGCCUCUCGCACCAAUUGGAGUAGUUGUAAAAUUAGAGUUAUUUACACUAAUACCCUCUGAGGUUUUUGGUGUUUUCAUAAAACCUCUUGAGAUUUCAAAAAUUACACAAACACUCCUUGAAAUUUCAAAUUGUUUUCACAAAACUCCUUUUCGUUGAUUGUUCGUCUAAAAAUGAUUAUUUCAUAGAAGAAACCUUAUGCAAAUGACAAAAUUGACCUCUAUGAAUGUAUGUGCAAUAAUCUCAAAUGCUAACUUUGUUUGUCGAAUAAUUUUUUAUAUAUAUAUAUAUAAAAUCAUCAAUUUUUGAAUAAAAAAUUAAUGAAAGGAAGUUUUAUGAAAAAAAAAAAAAUUAAAACCUCACAGAGUUCUGUGACAGAGAUCAGUGUUACCACACCGAAAACAGCACUAGGUAUUGGUGUAAACAACUCUGCAAAAUUAACUAAUGGUAAUAAACUAUUUGCUUUGGUUGGAAAGACGAAGGAAUUUAUUACAAAAAGAUACUUACUUGGGGACCAGACUAGAAGUCUAGAAGUUGAUAAUUAAGAAUUUACUUACAAAAAAUUUAAAACCUCACAGAGUUCUGUGACAUAGAUCAGUGUUUCCAUGACAAGAGUUAAAAAUGUUUGUUUAUGACAACUAUAGCGAUCUAUUAUUAGUACUACAAUUCAUAAAUUCAAACAACUUGCCAAGAAGUUGAUAAUUAAGAAAAAAGACACUUGUCUAUUGAAAUUUUAAUCAAUAUAAACUAUAUAUAUAUAUAUAUAUAUAAUGUGGGACUGCAUAUCUGUGUAUGAACGAUGUGUUGUAUACUUUAAGGUUGAAUUAGGUCAGUUCCCAGAUUUGAGUCAAAAGGCUCUCCUGAAUCGAUCUUCACGUGACGACCCACGUUACAGUGUAUUGGAAUCAUGUUGAAAUGUACAAAUGGCAACAUGAAGAUUUAUAUAAUUUGGGUGUUUACACGAGAUUUAUUAUUUUUAUGGUAUUACUUCGAUUAGAUAAGCUACUUUAAUUUAUUUGAUUUAUUAUGUUUAAGGUAGAUAGAUUUUCUGGUUUAUUAUUUUUAAAGGUAUAAUCAAAUAGCAAUUUGAUUGAAAUCCAAUUAGCACUAUGAAGAUUUAAUCAAAUAGCAAUUUGGGCGUUUGCACAUGGUUAUCAUUUUAACGUCUACCGCAAGUUGAUAAUAAACUAAUUUGCUUUGGUUGGUGACAUAUGGUCCGUUUAGCAGUACUUCUGGAAGGGCUAAAAGUGUUUUCUGACAAUGAAAAAUGCUUCUAACAAUGUUUGCCAAAAAAGCGCUUUUAGGCCAUAGAAGCGCUUUCUAGAUAAGCACCUGCCAUGUACUUCUCUAGAAAGCACUCUUGAGUGCUUUUCUAGGAAGCACUUUGAUUUCUUAUGAAAAUUUCAACUUCUUUAUAAUAAAAGCGCUUUUAAUAUAAACGCUUAUGAACAAAAAUGCUUUAUAAAGAAGCAGUCCCAAAUGAGCUUAUAGUCCUUGUUGAAAACUUUAAGUUUGGCAAGAUAAUUGUAUCUCCAAUCAGAAGUGCUUACUAGAAGUUCUUUUCUCUCUUCAUAUUGCUUGACAUCUCUAUAUUUUAGUAAGAGUUGGAUAAGGAGAUCAUGGUUAAAAUUGAAAUUUUUAACUUCUCUAAAUUUUAGUUAAGAAGCUCAUUUAAUGAGUUUUUUUGGAGAUGCUCUCUUAUACAUAUGAAUGUGUUGUACCGUACGUAAACUUGAAUUGGAUCAGUUCUUACAUUAGGUACGUUUGCAAACUUGAAUUAGAUACACAUCCUCCUCACAUUACGACCCACGUUACCGUUAACAAAGUUGACUCAAAUUGAAACAAGCUAAUAUUUGUUAAUUUUUACAAUACAUCACUAGCAGCAGAUCAAUUAAGGGUUUGCAGUGUCUACCCAAAAAAAAAAGGUCUCAAAUUGAAACAAGGUACAAUUUUCAUUACAUCACAAGCAAGCUGGCAACAAGACAAUUAUAUCGGCCAUCAUCAUCACACGAGUUCGACAUUAAUUUCGAUUUGAUUUUGCAAGCUGCUGUCGUCGUAUAACUCUGCACGGCCAAAAUAUUCAUCAUGUUCUCGUCUGACAUGAAGAAGUUGAGCGUUUGAAGGUGACCCAAGCAACUCGUCGGUCUCUUUGGGAGAAGGAGAAAAAUUCAACUUAGCCAGUCCCUUAGCAGCUGAAUAAUCCCAUGCCAUAACCUCGAGCUUCAUGGCUACUUCUCUCAUGGAAGGCCUUUCAUUUUGCAACCCUAAACAGCUUUUUGCGAGAUCAACCACUUUCUUGGCUGUCUCCAAAUUUUCCGCCUUGAUUAUUUUACCAUCAAGAAUUUGAUCCCAGCGACCCUCUUCCACUGAACGAGCAAAUAACUUUGCUAGGCCUCUCUGUCCCUUAGGCUUUUCACCACAAAAUGCUUUCUGGCUUGUCAGUAGCUCAACUAGGACCACUCCAAAGCUAUAGACGUCAUUCUUUGUUGACAACUUUUUUGAUUUUUUACUUUCAGGGUCUAAGUAUCCGGCUAAACCUCGCAGGGUACCUUGUAUUUGAGUUUGAUCUUGAGGAAUCACUUUUGCCUCUCUAAAGUUGGCCAAUCUUGCCCUGUAAUUCUUAUCUAAUAGUAUUCUUUUCGAAUUCACAUUUAGAUGUACGAUUGAUAUAUUCUUGGAAGUAGAAGAGGAGGAGUGCAAGUAUUCUAGUGCUGCUGAGAUUUCUACUGCUAUCUUCAUUCGCAUUUGGAAUGAGAGUGUUGAUGAUCCUUUGCUUUUUCCAUGAAUAUGCUCGUAAAGAGUGCCAUUGUUGAUGAACUCGCAAACUAAGGUUUCUCCUCCCAGAUCUGCACAAUAACCUAAGAGCCUCACAAUAUGUCUGUGUUUAAUCUGAGAAAGAAUAGUCACUUCGUUAACAAAGAUUUUAGAGACAAUUCUACUAGGUACGUCUAACUUGAACUUCUUUAUGGACACCACGCUUUUAUCUUGUAGAACUCCUCUGUAAACUAUUCCUUUGCCUCCUCUACCAAUGAUUCUACCGUCAUAGAAAUAAUCUGUCGCCCAAGAAAUUUCUCGUGCAGAAAACUUUCUGGGUGCUAACUUGGAAGGUGCAUUAUUAUUAUGUAUAGCCAAUAUGUGUUGUGAUGUUGCAAUGCGUUUUAGCAACUCAAUUAUCUUGCACAUACUAAGCAUCAAAAGAAUUCCAACCAGUAUAAUAAAGAAGCUUACACAGAUACCUGCAAAAGGAGAAUACACACGAACUCACACUCACACACAGAUAAUUGCUAAUCAUAUGCAAUUAAGUAGCUAACUAGUAAGUGGUACAUACCCAAUGAAAUUUUCAGGGAAGUGUUCAUGCUUUUGACGAAACCCGUCAAGCCGGCCGGCCUUUUGUUUCUGUACCCUUUUCCAGAUCCAGAGUAAAUUAACCCACCUUCCAUUGUUGUAGGGCUUUGAAGCGAAGAUCAAAGUUUAUCUUUUGGUUAAUAAUAGGAGCGAAGACAAGCACAAAAGAUUAGUGACUUUUUAUGUGAUUAUUAUUAUUAAUUACUAGACUCUUGGGCAAGGUAAUCGAUUUUUUUAUUUUUAUUUUUCCAUAUACUUUUGUUAACAGUAAUAUCAUGUCUCUUGGGCAGGGCUCCAAUAUCUUUAAUAACUGCAUGUGACUCCAUUAUCCUAUGCCAACACGCGAAACCUCGAACUUUGGAUGACUCAAUAUUUGAUCAGAACAUUAAGACAAAACUUAAGUAUUGAUUUUGUUUUUUGGGUUAACUACUAAAAACCCCCCAAAUUGUGGGGGUUAUUUUUAAAUACAUACCCAUUUUGUAAGACAUUUCAUCUUCAUACUCAAACUUCCAAAAACUCAAACCCCGACUUACCCAGCCAAUACCAACUGACCCACACAACUACCCUGGCUGUACAAAAACAACCAACCAAACCACCACUAACUCUGCUCCCACUGCAGCGCACCCAUGGAUAUAGGGAACAUGAGAACCCGCAUUGUCUUGGUUGGAAAUUCUGGGGGCAUAUCGUGGUCUAUUGGAAAUUCUAGGGCGAUAGCGUGUCAAAAGUGGGAUCUAUUUUUUAAUGACAUGGACUCUUACGCAGAUAAAAAAUGUCUUACAAGAUGAGUAUGAACUUGGAAGUGACCUCAUAAUUUGGGGUUCUUUCUAGAGAUAUUUAGUGAUAUACCCAUUUCUAGUGCUAAUAUUAUAAAUAAACCUUACACAAUUGAAUUUCUAUAAACAAACCCAAAAAAAACCAAAAAAAUAAUAGCUGGCCCUAUUGAAUUUAAUAUUGAUUAUUAAAUUACUUUGAUGCCCUAUUGAGUGUUUUGAGUAUUUUUAUGAGAUUUUGGGAUUGGGCUUGUUUUAAGAAAUUGAUGGCAGUUUUGUAAUUUAUAAGAAGUUAAAAUCUUUUUUGUUAUGUUGUAAUGAGUUUUGGGUGUGUUUUUAAAGUCCAUUUCAUGUAGGGUAUUUUUAUAAUUUGAGCCCCUAUAUUGAGUAUAAUAAUGAAUCUCCCUUUUUUCUAUAGUUAACCCUCGUUUUUUUUUUUCCCCAAAAAAAUUUACUGACCUUAAUUUCUCUUAGCUGCUUGAUUGAUCACUCCAUUCCUUAAAUCAAUUAAGAUUUUUUGAGAGAGAGAGAGAGUGAGUGAGUUGAGUUGAGUUCUAGAUUUGGUUUCAGUUAAUUCAAAGGGUAAUUACUCUGCUGGAUCUUCAUCUGCAAUGCAAAUAUCCAGAAUGCUACCCAGGCUCAUUUUCAGCCAACCCUAGCCUAAGCCAAUCCCCCACCUCUCUUGCUCCACAUUGUAGAGUAGAAAACCUCUGAAUCAUGAGGAGUAUGUCCUUGAACAAUUAUCCGCUGUAAAGCAUGUCCAGAAAACAGGACUUCUGGUCUAUUUUUUUAGGAAGGAAAUAGUCCAGGGGAUACAAUAUUAUCCUAAUUAAGUUUGAGUUAUGGCUAACCUCGAACUAACUUUAGCUAUAGAGGAAGAAGAAGACGAAGAUGAAGAAACUUCACUUGUGCAGGACUCGGAUGAAGAGCAAGUUACUGACAGGUUUCUUCUUUAAUUUCUAAAGACAUUUUCUUUUGUUUUCUCUGUUCACAGCAUGAACAGAGUUUACAAGAUUAGUCAUGCCAUAGCUUCCACGAAUUUCUGGCUCCUUAAUUAACUGUUUGUUUCUAAUUUCUUCAUUUGAUAGGUGCCCCCCACCUCUUACAUUUUCAAAUUCAACGACGAUCAAGUCAUCAAUGUUGGCAAUCCUUUGUUGGGGAUGCUUCUUGGCAGUGGAAAUUCCUAGAGUUUUUUUUCGUAUUACAGGGGUACUAAUAGUGACAACUGUUAAACUUAUUUGUUAUCUUAUAAAGGCAACAAUAGUGAUAACUAUUGGAGGCAUAUAUUUUCUGGUCCAACGGAUAAACUGGAGAAAGAUAUUUGUCAUAUCAUGUGUGAUUUCUGUUAUUGUCGACCCAUUGUUCCUCUACAUUCCUAUCAUCAACCAGGAUCUCAAGUGCAUCGACAUGGACAAAGCAUUGAAUAAGACAGCUUUUGCUUUGAGAGCAGUCGCAGAUUUCUCUUACUUUGUCGACUUACUUGUUCGACUUAAAAUAUGUGAGGAACUUUUCCCCUCAAAUUUAUUAAUUUCAUUUCAGAAACUACUUCUCAUGAAACUUCUUUUUUGAUAUUCAACUUUAAAUUUAUUUUUAUUGAUGCAUGAAACUUCUUGUUUCUCAACAAUAGCAAAGACCAUUUGGCAGUCAUGCAUCCUAAUUGACAUUUUAGCUCUUCUUCCACUUCCACAGGUAAUUAAGAGCAUCCUUUUCAUAUUCUUCUCACACUAAUUAAUUAAUUUGAUUUGAAUGCUGGUAUAAAUUAAACAUUGUAUUUUGUCACUCACAGGUGGUAAUUAUCCUUUUCUUUUCUAAAGCAAAGGGCUGGAGAUCUUUGAACAUAGCGAUGCUUAUGAAUUCUCUUGCUAUGGUGCAAUAUGUGCCACGGAUUCUUCGAAUUUACUUCUCAUGUAAGGAACUUAAAGAGAGUUUUAAUGAACGUAUUGGACUAUGGAUUAAAAGUGUACUCAAUUUCUUUAUGUACAUCCUUGCUAGUCAUGUAAGUUUCAGUCUCUUCAUCUUUAAUUUAUGUAAAGGUUGAUGCAUAAUUUUUCUUUUCUUUUUUUUCUUCGUUUUUUUUCUUGAUCAAAGCUUAGGUUCUUAAAUGAAUCAACCUUACAGGUCCAGCUACCGAAGCAUAUUUGACAAUUCGUUCUAAUGAACUAUAAUUUGUCAAUUCUUUAGGUACUCGGAGCUUUUUGGUACUUUUUUGCUAUUCAAAGAAUGAAGACUUGCUGGCAACUUGCAUGUCGAACUGAAAUUGGAUGUGAACCUCAUAGUUUUGUUUGUGAUGACCUGUUCAGAAAUACCACAUCUCUAAAUGACUUAUGUCCAAUAAACCCACAAAAUGAAACGCUCUUUGAUUUUGGUAUAUUUGUUGACGUCCUUAAAUCUGGUAUAUCCAAGUCAACAAAUCAUCCACAAAAAUUCUCCAAUUGUUUCUGGUGGGGCUUGCGAAAUUUGAGGUUUGUAAAUUUGAAGCUCAUUGGUCUUGCAUAUAUUUUGCUAUGGCUUAUACUCACUAAUAAAAUACACUCAACUUUUCUACUGUCAUUUCAAAACUCUGUUUUUCCCCAGUUUCUAAUUCUCUGUCUUCCUUGUGCCCAAUGUAUACAUAGCAUCUGGUCUGAGUUCUUAAUCAUGAACACAUUGAAUUUAAAAGUAAAGAUUUGUAUCUUAUAUUUGCGAUCCAUAUUCAUAUUUUCAGCUCUCUUGGUUCGAACCUCCAGCCCAGUAUCACUACAUGGGAGAACCUCUUUGCGGCUUUUGUUUCUAUUAUUGGCCUGCUACUAUUUAUAUAUCUCAUUGGAAAUUUGCAGGUUGGUAUCAAGUUUUUAUAUCUAAACUUUUCUUGAAUUAGUCUUUAUACCUGCUUUUUUUAAUUAGGAGGGACAAAUCACUCAUUGCCAUUUUUCACUUUGGUCUGAAUCAUUUAUUGCUAGUUACUUUGUCAAAAGCAGGAGAAAUGUUUUGGUGUUAUAUAUAUAUAUAUAUGGUCACUGUUAUGUGGUAAUACUAAUUGACAUGUUACAAUAUGAAUGAAUUAGUAAGGUUACAUGGUGGUGCGACUGCCACACCUAAGGCAAGCUGUGAAGAUCGCUUUUUCCGAAAAAUUUCAUCUCCUAUAGUUCAUCAUAGCCUAAGGUCCACUCUAAUAUGUUUUCUUUCCUAGCUGAACAAGCCUAAAACUCUAACUUCUAGGUUCAGUUCAUUACCCUCAUAUAACAAUAUUAUAUUUACAUUAUACAUUAUUAGCUAGUAGUAAUUAAAGUUACUUAUAGAUUUUAGAAUAAAUACUCACGAACUGAACGUAGCUACGUUGUUUUGGAUUAAUAGAUGUACAUGCAGUUCGACGCUGCAAGAGAAGAGGCACGUAAAGAACGUGUUAAUCAAGAGAUGAAAACGGAACGGAGGUUGAAAGAGAAAGAUAGAGAGAUAGCAUUCUGGUUAUCUGAGAAUGUCAACAUCCCUCAAAAUGAGAAGGAUAAGGUAAAGUCACAGAUCAUGAGAACGGUGAAACACGAACUUGAGGAACUCAGGGGUGGUGACGUGGAGGAGAUCCUCUCUAUUCUUCCCUCUGAACUUCAAAGCUAUCUCAAUUCCCAUAUGAUGUGGAAAAAGUUACAGAGAGUAAGUUCCUAUGUGAUGCAUGCUACGUUGCUAAAUUAAAUUAAUUUUCCUUGCAUUAUCUUUUCUUACAUGCAUAUAUGUAUAUAUUUAUUGAAUUAAUUUACGCAGGUUCCAAAGCUUGACUCACUGGACGAACAAGUAUUGAAAGCGAUCUGGAAGCAUUCUAAGACUUUGAAAUAUGCUGCAAAGACCAAUAUUAUUAAGGAGAAUGAACCGAUUGAUAAGAUGUUCUUCAUCAUAGAAGGAGUUGUAAAGAUUGAAAGUAGUAGGACUACGGAUCGUUCUUCUGCGCAGCUUAAAGCAGGAGAUUUCUUUGGAGAAGAACUUGUAGAUUGGGCAACAAUUGCUGUAUUUCCUAACUUAUUACCCUUGUCGACCAGUAGCGCCAAGGCCACCAAAGAUGUCAAAGCCCGUGUUCUCCUGGCCAGCGACUUGUGUGAUGUAGUCAGUCUUUUCCGGGACCAUUUCCGUAAGAGGAAGCGCCCCCCACCUGACCUCGCUGGGUUUAACUGCGCAUCAGCACCUCCCCCACCUCACCGGACAGUGUCAGGUCUAACUGCCUAUAGACCUUGGUAAAUCUGCCUCCUACUCUGCACUAAUCACAUAUUGAACCAGCUCAUGUAAAUAAAUCCUUUUCCUGUUUUUUCUGUUGCAUUAAUAAUGCACCAAAAAUUCUACCGUAUAACAAGCAGACGAUGGAUACCUCAAGUUCUGCUUCUGCUGCCACUACUACUGUUGGGGACUUGGAACAUGUAUUUCACUGUUCUUUUCUAAGUUGUCGACAAAAGCAACAUUUUUUGCAGAAAUUAAAGUAGCCUUGUUGAAGAAAGUUGAGGUUCCACCCAAAACCAAUUGGCAAUGGGGGGAGUAACCCAACUCCUACUCUUUACCUUCACAUUCUCACACGCCCCCGCACAUGUGGCGAAUUUUCAAGCAUAACAUGUGAACAACACAUAUUGGGUGACGUGGAGCACGUGUGGCCGUUGGGCUUUCAUACGUAGGCUAACCCGCUCUGAUACCAUGAAGGACGUUGAGGUUCCAUCCAAAAUCAAUUGGCAAUUGGGGGAGUAACCCAACUCCUUAUAAACCCUUACUAGGUUUCUUAACUUUCUAAUGUAGGACUCUUUACCUUCACAUUCUCACACUUGUCUACCUAAGUUUAUUUAAUUUCUUUGCAAUGGGUGCAUAAGCCCAAAAUCGUUUGUCUCCGCUGAAGAAAGUUAAAGUCACUACAAUAUUUGUUGGGUAUAUAUGAUAGCUGAAGCCAACUGGAAUUUUUGUGCCGGCAGUGGUUAGUUCAGUUGCUGACCAACGUGUAUAGUUAGUUAGUUAGUUUCUAAUAUUGUUAGAUGGUUAGGCUGUUAAGCAACAGUUUUGGAAGUUCGUUAAGAGCUUAAGAACAAGUGUAUAAAUACUCUAAGAAACUUUGUAAGGACUUACAAUUAAGGAUCACAUUAUUAGAACUUGAGCGUCUAACCUAAAACUAAUUGGCAAGAUCUUUUAAAUGCUAUUGCAAAACUUCCAUCCUCCAAUGCGGAUAUCAACAUACAUGAUGCUAUUCUCCAUUAUUAUUAUUUAGUCAAUCCACAAUUGCAUUGCACAUGAAAUUUCUUGUAUAUUUCUAGUCACAUGAUGUAACUAGGACGAUGAAUGCAGAUUACGUUUCCAAUCUUAUUUGCCUUUUGUCUUCUUUUGUGUACCUAGGAUUCGUAAGACGUCUACCAAUAGCUUCCUAGUCGCCCACAUUCAUUAAUGGAAGUCUAAAAAGAUACGGUUUUUGACAUAAUUGCACAAUAUCAACACUAGAAAAUAAAAAUCCGGACUCAUAGAUUUAUGACCAAACAUUCAAAACAUAGUAAUUUGACAUAGUUUUCGUUAGGAACAAGCCAAUCAAUUAUCGGCCAUCAUCAUCAGGCUUCGACACUAAUUCGGAUUUGAUUUGGCCCUGCACUGCUGUUGUAUAACUCUGCAGCUGUUAUAAUCCCACAAGAACCAAAAAAUUCAUCAAAUCCACGUCUAACCUCAAGAACUUGAGCUUGUGAAGGUGAGCCAAGCAAGUUGUCGGUUUUUUGGGGAGAUUGAGAAAAAUUCAACUUAGCCAUUCCCGUAGCAGCUGAAUAAUGCCAUUCCAUAAAUCGCAACACCUCAAGCUUCGUGGUUACUUCUUUCAUGGAAGGCCUUUCCUAAACAGCGUUUUGCCAGACCAGCAACUUUUUUGGCUGUCCCAAGAUUUUCCCCCUUGAUUAUUUCACCUUCAAGAAUUUGAUCCAAGCGACUCUCUUCCACCGAGCGAAGAAAGAAGCUUGCAAGGUGUUUGUCUGACUCAGGCCUCUCUUCACAAAACGCCUUUUGGCUUGUUAGUAGCUCCACUUGGACAACGCCAAAGCUAUAGACGUCAUUCUUUUCUGACAAUGUGUUUGAUUGAAUACUUUCAGGGUCUAAGUAUCCGGAUGAGCCUCGCACGGUACCUUCUACAUGAGUUUCACCUUGAAUAACAAAUUUUGCCUCUCUAAAGUAGGCCAAUCUUGCCGUGUAAUUCUCAUCCAAGAGUAUUCUUUUUGAAUUCACGUUUAGAUGUAUGAUUGUUGAAUUGGAAGUGGAGGAGGAGUGCAUGUAUGCUAGCGCAGCUGCAAUUUCUGCAGCUAUCUUCAUUCGUAAUUCGAAUGAGAGUGUUGACGAUCCUCCGUUUUCUUCAUGAAUGUGCUUGUAAAGAGUGUCAUUGUUGAUGAAAUCGUAAACUAAGGUUUAUUGUCUCGAAUCUAUACAGUAACCUAAGAGCCUCACCACAUGCCUGUGGUUGAUCCGAUCAUCCGAGAAAGAAAACGCACGUCUUUAACAAACUUGUAACGGGUAGAUUCUUCGGACUUGAACUUCUUUACGGCAACCACUCUCUCAUCUGGUAGAAUUCCUUUAUACACUUUUCCAUUCUCUCCGGUGUAGCAAUGAUUCUGCCGUCAUCGUACUUGGAUGUGGCCUCUUCCAGUUCUUUUUCAGUAAACUUUCGGAUUGCUGACUUAAUAGAUCCAUUACAUUUAACCAAUUCCUUUUCUAAUUGCGCAUUUGCAAAGUAAUCUUUUAUUUCUUUUACAUACCCUGAUAUUUUCAGGGCUGUGCAAUGUCUCAAAAGCAGUCCAACCAGCAAAACAAAGAAGCUUAUACUGAAACCUGCACGUAAUUGAAAACCGGCCACAAACAUUUGAGGCUUUUUUUUACAAUUUAUUUAUGCGUUAAGUAGCCAGUACAUAUAUACGUACCCAGUGAAAUUUUCAGAGGAGUCAUGUUCUUUGAUGUAAUUUCCAGGUAAAUUUAAGCACGUUCCAAUGUUGCCGUGGUUUGAAGCCUUGGACUGAUCAGCGAUGUCUGGCAGACGCAAAAUUACAACCCAGUAAUCCCACAAAAUUAGCUAGAGCUGCACAAUAAGCACCUCUUAGUUCCUCCUAAAUAGCAAGAAGAAUUAAUGGUAUCCGUGUAAUUUAUUAAUUACUGCUUAAUUAGUUAUGAGGAAAGAAAAGCAUGCUAACCUGAAUAGAGGCAUACGCAGGGAAGAACACUGGCAUGGCUCAUGGCUUCACUGGGAAAUGCCUUCUUCUUCUCUCUGUACUUAACUGUCUGCUCCAAUGUUUCGUCCAUCAAUUAUUUCCUUCAUAUGCAGGGGAACAUAUCUCACUUGGUGUAAAAUUACACUAAUGCUCUGCCCUAUAAGCCCACUUGGUAAUAACAUAUAUCACUAAGCAAAGGAUCAAAGUCUUUAUUUUUUGGUAAGGAGAAGCAAAGUCAAGCCCAAGCACAAAGAUAAUUAAUGGCUCUAAUUAGUUCACAUGGCCAGCGAGAAUGCCAGAUCGAGAUUAGUCUUUCUUUAUUUUGGCAAAAAUUUCUCGAAGACUUGAAUAUUAUUAGAGGAAGACUUGAGACAAGACUAAUUAUGAUUAGAGAAAGACUUGAGAAAAUAAUAUUAAAGAAAGACUUUAAGAAUAUUAUUAAUCACCGCAAUUUAAAGAUUCAUAACUUUCCAAUAUGAAAUCUUCAUUUAUAUUAUUUAAGCGUACAUGAUAAAAUCUAGUCUAAUCGCCUACUAGGCCUACAAAUGUGUUUACCAUAUACUUCAACUUGAAUUGAG
rnacentral:lncRNA from 1 species